rnacentral:lncRNA from 1 species
AAAUAGAAAUGUGCAAGUUACUACCUCUCUCCCUCGCUCUGUCAUCACCAAAAAGAAGAGAAGGAUAUCAUAGAUUCGUAGUACUAUUUCUCUUCAAUCAUUAUGUAAAAAUAUUAAUAUAAAAAAUAAGUUCAAAUCAUGAGUGAUCAAUUUGAUGAUAGGGUAUACAAGUCAUGAAUACAUAAAUAAUAAGAAAUCAAGAUAAUAAUCCAUUUGAAUGAUCUCUUAAAAAAAAUCAUAUGAGAUGAAUUCGUGCAUAUAAAGGAUCAAACAUACCUAAUUCUCUUUUAAUAAAAUUGAACUGUUCCUCAUUCAAUGGUUUAGUAAAAAUAUCUACUAAUUGAUGUGUUGUAUCAAUAAAAUCUAAAAAUAUAUCAUGAUGAUUAACAUGAUCCCUAAUAAAAUAAUAUUUAAUAUCAAUAUGUUUAGUCCUAGAAUGUUGAAUAUGGUUUUUUGUUAAACAAAUUGCACUAGUAUUAUCACAUUUUAUAGGGAUAUUUUUUAGGUAAAAUUUAUUAUCUUUUAAGGUAUUCUUUCUCCAAAUUACUUGUGCACAGCAUGCACCUAUUGUUACAUAUUCAGCCUCGGUUAUAGAUAAUACAAUAGAAUUUUAUUUUUUGGAAAACCAAGAAAUAAGUGCAUAACCUAGAAGCUAAUAUAUUCCAUAGGUACUUUAUCUAUUCUGCAUCUUGCAAAGUCAAUAUCAACAUAUGCAAUCAAAUCAAAAUUUUUAGAUUUUGGAUACCAUAAUCCUAUAUUAGAGGUUCCUUUUAAGUAUCUAAAAAUUCUUUUCGCUACUUUAUAAUGAGAUUGUUUAGGAUUCGAUUGAAAUCUGAUACAAAGCCCAACACUAAACAUUAUAUCAGAUCUAGUUACAAUAAGAUAUAGCAAGCUACCUAUCAUACCUUCAUAAGUCUUUUGAUUAAAUCAUUCUUCUUUAUUGUCUAUAUCUAAUUUGAUAGAAAUGCUGAUAGGUGUAUUAAUGGCCUUAGCACUAUCCAAGUGAAACUGUUUUAGUAGAUUCAAAAUAUACUUAGUUUGACUAAUAAAAUUUUCAUUACUUAGUUGCUUAAUUUGCAAUGCUAAGAAAAAUAUCAAUUCACCCAUUAAACUCAUUUUAAAUUCUUGGCUCAUACUUUUAGCAAAUAAUUCACAUAAAGAUUAAUUUUUGAACUAAAAAUAAUAUCAUCAACAUAAAUUUAAAUAAUAAAAAAUUAUUUUAAAGAUAUUUAAUAAAUAAUUUGACAUUGACCUUACCUUUCAAAAAAAUAUUUUGAAUAAAAAAAGAACUAAGCCUCUCAAACCAAGCUCUAGGGGCUUGCUUCAAUCUAUAGAGAGCCUUAUAUAACUUAUGAACAUAGUUUGGAAAAAGAACAUUUUCAAAUUCAGGCGGUUGCUCAAUAUAAACUUAUUCAGAAAUAAACUAUUAAAAAAAAUACUUUUGACAUCCAUUUGAAAUAAUUUAAAAUUUUUGUAACAUGUAUAAGGAGCAUCCUUCUAGUUUCAAGUCUAGCCACAAGAGCAAAGGUUUCUCUAUAAUCUAUACCUUCUUCUUUGUUGAAACCUUUGACUACUAAUCUAACAUUAUUUCGAAUCACGAUACCUUAUUCAUCUUGUUUAUUCCUAAAUACUUAUUUAGUAUCAAUCAUAAGAUGAUCACUAGGUCUAGGAACAAGUAUUCAAACUUUAUUUCUUUCAAAUUGAUUUAAUUCUUCAUACAUUGUAAAAACCCAUGAGUUAUCUUUGAGAGCAUCAUUAAUGCAUUUAAGUUCAAUUUAAGACAAAAAAGCAGCAUUUGCACAAAAAAUUUUAAAUGAAGAAUGAGUUUGAACACCUUUUGAUAUAUCUCCAAUAAUUAGUUCCUUAGAAUAUGCAUCUAUGUAUUUUCAUUCCUUGGGUAAGGAUUAUUUGGAAGUAGAUGUAUCCAAUUUACCUAGGAGAGGAGAAUUCUUAUUCAAAUUCAAUAUAUCAAAUUUAAAAUCAUCAUCAAAAUUAUUUUUCUUAAAUUCGAGAGACUCAUUAAAAAUGACAUAGAUAGAUUUCUCAAUAACUAAAGUUCUUUUAUUAAAAACUCAAUAAGCUUUAGAAAUAUAGGAAUAUUCAAGAAAAAUUCCUUCAUCAAAUUUUACAUCAAAUUUUCCUAAGGCAUCCUUUUCAUUUAAAAUAAAAUAUUUAUAAUCAAAAAUUUUAAAAUAUAAAAUAUUAGGUAUCUUAUUGUUCCACAAUUCAUAAGGAGUUUUAGAUAGUAGUGGUUUUAAGAUAACCUUGUUUAUGAUAUAGCAUGUCGUGUUAAUGGUUUCGACCCAAAAAUAUUUGGGUAGGCUAUGUUCAUUAAGCAUAGUUGUUAUCAUUUCUUGUAAACUCUUAUUUUUUCAACAACUCUAUUUUAUUGUGGAUUUCUUGAAGUAGAGAAAUUGUGGCUAUACUCAUUUGAAUUACAAAAUCCUUAAAAAUCAUGAUUUUUAUAUUCACCAUUAUGAUCACUAAGAAUGGAAGAAAUCAUAAAACUUUUUUUAUUUUGAACUUAUUUACAAAACUUUGUAAAAUAUUUAAAAUAAUUAUUUUUAUGUGCCAAGAAGUAUGUCUAUGUAUAUCUACUAUAAUUAUCAAUAAUCACAAAAGUAUAUUUACUACCUUCUAGACUUAUGAUAUCAAUUUGUCUAAAUAAAUCCAUAUGAAUUAAUUAUAAUGGAUUUUAAGCUUGAUUUUAAGCUUAAAGCUACUAUUUAUUUAUUUACCUAGUUGGCAUACAUCACAAACUUUAUCUUUGACAAAUUUAAUUUUAGGCAUUCCUCUUACAAGUUAUUUAGUUUCAAUUUGUGAUAUCAAUUUCAUACUUGCAUGACCUAAUCUCCUAUGUCAAAUUCAUGCAUUAUCAUUUAAAACCAAAAAUAAGUUUUAUCAUAAAAAUCAUCAAGAUCAAUAGUAUACACAUUAUUGCUUAUUAAGGCAAUCAUAGAUUUAUUUUUAUGUGGUAUCUCUAUAAUACAAACAUUAGAUUCAAAUUUAAUAUUAUAUCCCUUAUCACAUAAUUGACUAAUACUUAGUAUGUUAUGUUUUAAGUCAUAUGUUAAUAGAACAUCUUCAAUCAAAAGAUUUGAUUUAUUACCUAUAUUUCCUUUGACGAUAAUUUUUCCUCUGUUGCUGUCUCCGAAGGUGAUAUAUCGUCCAUUUUGGCUAGUGAAAUUUAAGAAAUAUGUUGGAUCUUCGAUUAUGUGCAUUGAGCAUCCACUAUCAAGAUACUAUUUCUUGCUCUUAACUUUCGAUUAGAGACAUAUCUACAAGAAAUAAGGGUUUGCUUUAGGUACAUAUUUAACUCUGAGUCCUUCAUGGUUAGAUCUAUCUUUCUUGACUUUUAACAUUAAAUUAUUUAUGGUUCGUUUAGGAAUCUAAACUAAUUUAUAAGAGCUAUAUUUUUUCAAUAAACAUGUAUAAACAUAAUGACCACAUCUUCCAUAAAAAUUACAUUUAACUUUAGGGGGAACAUAUAUUAUAGGUCCAUUUACAAAUGUAAUUGGUUUUGUUGAGUGUUACUACUCACAAAGUUGAUUCCGUCAUUUCUAUAUACAUAACUUUUGUUAGCAAGAAUCAUGUUUAAUGAUUUAUUUUUAAUUUAUUUUUUUUAAUAUUUGUUGUAAUAACAUAUUUUUCUUUUUAAAUGAGUCUAACUUUUCACAUUUGGUGUAAAAUAUUAAUAAGCAAUUGCCAUACUUAUUUUUAAAUUUAUCAAAUUCACUAAAACGGUAUACAUAAUCAGUUUUUAGUAAUUUAUAAUUCUUACCAAUUAUUAUAUUUUCAUCAUAUAAAUCAUGAAAUGCAUCAAGUAAUUUAUCAUAAGAUAAGGAUAUUUCACGUGAGUCACAUAUCUCGUUGUUGAAAGCCAUUAAUGCGUAGUUCGCUAUUUCGUCUUUAUUGGUUUGCUCUUCAUCUUCUGAUGCACUUGGUUCAUCCCAUAUUACCUUAAAUACUUUCUUCUUAUUUUGUGUUAGCACCUUCUUUUUUAGUUGUGGACACUCAUUUUUAAAGUGUCUUGGCCUUUUACAUUAAUAACAAAUAAUUGUAUCCUUUGUAAGUUCAUUUUUAUUCUUAAAUUCUUGUCUUACAUAAUUUGUUUUGUUUAUUUUCAUAUUUUUUUUAAAUUUUCUUACGAGGAGUGUAAAGUCAUCAUUAUCACUUGAGCUUUCACUAAGUUGUCUUCUUUGGUUCUAAGUGUAAUAUCAUUCUUGUUCUUUGGAAUGUUUUCCUCAUAUUCGUCAUGUGCCUAGUAAGUCAUUUCAUAGGUUAUUAAUGAUCUUAUGAGUUCUUGAAGAAGAAAGUUGUUCAAGUCCUUUGUUUCUUGAAUUGUAGUUAUCUUUGGAUCUCAACUUUUUGGAAGAGAUCUUAAAAUUUUAUUAACUAAUUUAAAAUUAGUAUAACAUUUCUUAAGAGCUUUCAAACCAUUGACUACAUCCAUGAGUGUACAUGUCAUCAAUGAUUUCACUUGGUUUCAUUCUAAAUAAUUCAUAACUAUGUAUCAAAAAAUUAAUUUUAUAUUCUUUUACUCUAUUUGUACCUUUAUGAGUAACCUAAAUGUGUGUCAAAUAUCAUGUGCAGUUUUAAAAAUAUAAUUAAAUUUAUUUUUGUCUAAAGCACAAUAUAAACCAUUCAUAGCUUUAACAUUUAAAGAAAAUAUUUUCUUCUUAAGUUCAUUUCAUUCAUUCGUUGGUUUAGAGGAUUUUGAAAACCAAACUUAACAACAUUCUAUAGAUCAAAAUCCAUAUAAAGUAAAAAAAAAUCCACAUUUGUAUUUUUCAAUACGUGUAGUCCACCUCAUUAAACAUAGGAGGAUGAGUAAUAGAGUGACCAUCUUGAUUACAAAAAAAAAUCAUUAAAUCUCUCUUAGGUGUUAAUCCAAUUGAGAAAACUAAGCUCUAGUACCAAAUUGUUAAGAUCGUAAAGGCCCUAAGAGGAGUGGGUAAAUUAGUACUUUUGAAAUAAAAUUUCGAUUUAAAAGUUUAAUCGAAAAAUAUAUAUUGAAAAUGUAUUUAACUUUGAAUGUGACUAAGGGUAGUGAGCAAUAAUAGCAAGGAAAAGCUUAAAGAGAAAUGCAAACCAGAUUUAUAGUGGUUUGGUCAUCCCAACCUAUGUCUACUCCUGAUUCCUCUUCCCUUGAGGCCAUCGCUUUCACUAUCGAUCUUUUUUUUUAAUGAGUAAAAAUUAACUACCAUUGUUAUAACUCUUUCACCUUUUCACAAACUUAGGAGAGAACCCUCACACUUCUCUUUCACAACAAAAUCUCACACCUUCCUUAGAAUGACUUCUAAACUCAAGGAGGAAGAAACUCAACACUUUUAAAGAGAGCUUACACACUUAAAAUCAUAAGUUUUUAUGCUUUUACCAAACAAGUAUGAGUAGGGUAUUUAUAGACUUCAAAUGACUUUAAAAAUGGAGCCAAAAAUUUAAAUCUCGAGUUUUCGAGGUACUAGCGGUACUAUCGCUUGUACCGAGUGAUACUAUCACCUAAUAGAGCCUGGGAACCAGGGCUCUAGUGAUACCACUACCUACUUGGGCGGUACUACUGCUUGAUAAUCUAGUGGUACCAUCACCUGACUGGGUGGUACCACCGCUUAACAACCUAGGAACCCAGGCUCUAGUGGUACCAUCACCUACUUGGGCGGUACCACCGCCUGCUUGGCUAGUACCACCGCUUGAUAGCUUAAGAACUUAGACUCUGGCGAUACGACCACCUACCAAAUAGUACCAUCGCCUAGCCUAACUCCAGGUUACUGAAUUAGACUUUCAACAGGUCCAAUUCAGCCUUGGUUCAAGCCCAAUAGGCUCCUAAUUAAGUUGGCAUGUUUAUACUCCAAAAUCAAUUCAAUUAGACACUUAACAACUUCAAUUAAGACUUAACAAUUACAAUCAUGAAACCUAUAGUGUCCAACAUAUCAUCUAUUCAUCCGGUACUUCAUUUGAACUUCUGACGCAUCAUCCUUUCCUUCGAUGUAUUACCUAUAAUGUCCAUCAUCAUAUUGUUCUCCCACAACAUCCGAUCUUCUUGGCACAAUGCCCGAUCCUUCCGGCUCGAUGCCCGAACUCUGACAUGAUGCUCUCCGACCCAAUGUUUGAUUCUCCUGCUUCAAUGAUUUGCCUCUAUAUGAUCGAAUUUUCUCUUACGUCACUUAUCUUAAACAUUUAUUAGUCCAUAAACUAAUCAAUUGAUUUCAUCAUCAAAAUUCGGGAUUCAACAAGGACACCUUUAGUAGUUCAUCCAGAAACCUCAGAAGUCAUCACCCUAACCUCAAGAGCUGGUCGAAAGACAAAUAGAUGUUUUAGUUAGUGGCCCGACCUCAAAAGGAGAUAACAUAUCAGGUCGUAAAACUUAUGCUCGAGCUAUCAUUAGCAAGUGCUUUAGGACCAAAGGUAAACAUAAAAUAACUUUCAGAGAGGAGACAAUGAUUUGACCCAAACCAUAAUAAUGCUCUAGUGGUCUCCGUAUGGAUGAUUAAUACUCGAGUAAAAAAGAGUCAUGAUUGAUAUUUUUAAAAAACUUAGGCUCUCGGCUAAUGAUCACACCCCCAUGACUUCCUUAUUGAUGAGAUUUACUAAUGACUUAAUUUCCCACCUUCGGACCAUAAACCUACAUGUCACAUUUGGAGAUGAACCAUGCUCGAAGAUAAUUAUGACCAAAUUCAUUGUGGUUAAUAUCCCCUCAACAUAUAACACCAUUAUAGCUUGACCUAUGUUGAAUAGAAUAUAGAUAGUCAUGUUGACCUAUCACAUGAUGAUGAAAUUCUCAACUAGCACCAACAUUAGCGAAUUAAGGAGUAACCCAAGGGAAUCCCGACAGUGCUAUCUCAUGACUAUCUCCUUACCUAAGAAGGUACGAUCUGAAGCACCACCUACGGACCUAAGAGACUUCACCAAACCCUUUCUACACUCGAAACCGACAGAAUAAUUAAUCGAAACACCCCUAGAUAAGGCUUGCCCUAAUUGAGUCAUCAAAAUAAGCUUAAUGUUGCCCAAUGAGAAGAGAGUACAACUUAUCAAUUUGCUCAAGAAUGCUAAGGUGUCCGCAUGGUCAUCAAAGGACAUAUUGGGAAUUGAUUCGAAUGUGACUCAACAUCAUUUGAACAUUGCUCCCAGAGCUCGACUAGUCAAACAGAGGCCUUGCAAAUUUGCCCUCGAACGCUAACAAACUAUUAGCAAUAAAAUCAACAAACUACUAGUAGUAUGGUUUAUUGUCGAGGUGUAAUACCUGCAGUGGCUCACCAAUGUUGUACUUGUCAAGGAGCAAAUAGAAACUAAAGGAUGUAUGCAAACUAUAGCAAUCUCAACAAAGCAUGUCUAAAAGAUAACUAUCCUCUCCCAUAGGUGGACCAACUAGUUGACGCCACCUUGGGGCAUGAACUCAUUACUUUCAUGGAUGCAUUUUUUGGAUACAACUAGAUAAGAAUAGUAUAAUAAGAUCGGGAACAUACAUCCUUCACCACAAACCGAGGGAUAUACUGCUACCAAGUCAUGUCACUCGGGUUGAAGAAUAUAGGAGCAAUAUACCAAAGGAUGGUGAAUAAGAUCUUCAAGCACCAGAUCGGGAGGAAUGUUGAAGUAUAUAUAGAUGACAUGAUAGUUAAAUAUAGAAUGGUCGACUCACAUUUAACAUACCUUGCAAAGACCUUUUAAAUCCUUAAGAGACACAAUAUGCAUUUCAAUUCAACCAAAUGUGCUUUUGGGGUGAGUUUAGGAAAAUUCCUAUGUUCAUUAUGCAUCAAAGAGAGACAGAUGAAACCAAAAAGAAGUACAAGCCAUAUUGGAAAUACGUCCACCUUAGUUAAUAAAGUCCAAUUACUAAUAGGGCGAAUGGCAGCUUUGAGUCAAUUCUUGUCCUGAUCCGACAACAAAUGCCAACCUUUUUUUCAAGCCCUUAAAAACUCGAAAGGUAUCAUAUGGACUUAGAAAUGUCGAGAGGCCUUUGAGAGAUUAAAGUACCACCUUACUUGAUUGGUGCAGUUGACCUCCACCUCGAGAGCAAUCCUUAGUCUCUACCUCGCUGUUACCAACUUGGCUAUCAGCUUCAUCCUAGUCCAAGACAACGCAAGGAGUCAAAGGCCCAUUUACUAUAUCAGUCAUGUCUUGAGUGGACCCGAAGAGUGAUACCCACCUAUAGAGCAACUAGCAUUUAUGCUAGUACUCAUGGUGAGAAAGCUCUAUCCCUAUUUUCAGGUGCACAUCAUAUAGGUUAUCACCAAUCAACCACUUCAUUGGGUUUUAUCUUGGUAUGACAUUUUAGGGUGAUUACUCAAAUGGUCUGUAGAGCUAAAUGAGUUCGAUAAUUAAUAGUGCAGGGAUAAGGCUGGAGAAACCCCGCUCUAUCUCAGACGACUCCUCACAUACAGAUCAAGGCCACGUCGUGCUGAUGCAUACAUCAAUGACAUCUAUCUCUAACAUUUGUUAUUGUCCUCCUUAUUAUAAAGGGACAAAUGGAAGUUUGUGUUUCUCUUUCGUGUCAUAAUAAAUAAGAAAGUGUUGCAGGUGUUAGGAAUUCGCCCAAGUACCACAAUAAUUAGUAGUCCCCUUGAGCUCGAUCGAUUAUAGGUGGCCAUUCGCUCAAUGGGGUAUGGACCUUCUCAGGCUCAGUCCUAAUAGCUUCUCCUCCAUGACUAGGUUGUUGUCCUAGAUACUCUCCAAAAUGGGUUAGGGUGGCAAACUCUCGCUUAGUCUCCUCCAACCUCUGAGCUAAUUGGUCACCUUAAGCCCUUGUCUCGGCUAGAAUAGUAAUAGGAGGAUCAACUCCUGCCUUCCUCAACUUCUCGACCUCUGCCCAAAGAUCGACAUUGUUUCGAGUUUGUUAGUUGAUGACGACACUAGUAUCCCAGACCCAAUCCAACAAGGCUAUCAUGUAAUGAUGGUACUACAAAACACAUAAAAAAUAUAAAAAUAUCCUAUCUGCUACUAAAGGUGCUGGAGAAUCUAGGAAAAUCCCCCCGUCGCUAGGGUGCUAACUGAGGAAAAUAUAAUGAGUUCGCCUCUCUCCUCCAACAUUAAAAAGGUGAUCGAGGAGUCUCCCUCGAGAUGCCUCUCUCUCUCUCUUUCUCUCUCUCUCUCUCUCUCUUUUCUUUCUUCGCUUCAUUUAGUAAACACUAGUUUAGGAGAGUAUGAAAAGAUACUCCUAGCAUUAUUUGUGGGAACUAGAAAAUGACUAUGUUGACCUCAAUCAAGAUAAGGCAGCUUCUCACUCCCCACAAAAUUACCUUUCACGACUAAGAUAGAAUAACUACUCGGGAUCAUUCCGCCAAACCGUGUGAGUUGGGCACGCUCGACCCGUGUAAGAGGAAAUCCUCUAUGGUGGAAAAACGGGCCAGGAAGGUGCUCCAAAACGCAUGAGUCAAGCAUGCCUGACCUGCAUAAGAAGAAAUAUGCUAUGGUAGGAAAACAGGCUAGGAAGGUUGCCCUAAUGCACGUGAGUCGAGCAUGCCAGACCCACAUAAAAAGAAAUCUACUACGAUAGAAAAACAAGCCAAGAAGGCGCCCAAAACGUGAGAGUCGAGCAUGGUCAACCCGCAUAAGAAGAAAUCCACUAUGAUGAGAAAAUAAGCUAGGAAUGUGCCUAAAGCGCGUGAGUCAGACAUGCCCGACAGACGUAAGAGGAAAUCCACUAUGGUGGGAAAACAAGCCAGAAAGGUGCCCAAAGUACAUGAGUCAAAAUACAAUUCAAAUCAGUUACAAACUACCUUCUUCACAGACCUUCACAAGAUAUCCUCCCCCCCCCCCACAAGGUUAGUAUAAAAAUAUGUCCAUAAUAUCAAGAGAGAGGUGUGUGUACAACCAAGUAAUAAUUUAAAUAUCGGAGGGGCCAACUCGGGAAACUCCUUCCGACCUUAGUCUUUAUGCAAGGAUAAGGCUAGAGAAACCUCGCUCUUCCCCAGACGACUCCUCAUAUACAGAUCAAGAUCACAUCGUGUUGAUACAUACAUCAACGACAUCUAUCUCUAACAUUUGUUAUUGUCCUCCUUAUCAUAAAUGGAUAAAUGGAAGUUUAUGUUUCUCUUUAGUAUCAUAAUAAAUAAGAAAGAAGUUUGUGUUUCUAUGACUCUUUGUACACGUAGGUGGAUGGAGAAUUACUUGGGUCUUAUGUGUCAACUAUGCAAAUUAUCUAUCAGAUAUCAAAUACCAUAUAAAACAAGCACUUAGAUCAUUUCAUCCUUCAUACAGAAUGGUGUCUAGAUUAAGGUAAAUAUUUUGAAAACAUGUACAACAGUAAUAGGAGAUUACUGUAGUAGUAAGAAAGAACCAUAAGCCAUGUAAAACGGAAUAUAAAACAUAACCGUAACAAGAAGCAUAAAUUACGUGCCGAUAAUCCUUCAACUACAAUAAUGUAAUGAUCAACAUUAGCUUAGUUAUAAGGUACUCAUGUUUUGUAGAACCCUUAGAAGAAAUCUUCACGUCAAGCACAGUAAUGCAAUGGAAGUUUAUAUAAUACUUGCCGAUCAUGUUUGUUUUACCCCCACCUCGGAUGUAAAUGCAGAUAUGUGAGGAAUAGUUGUUAAUGAUAGGAGAUAUGCCCUAAGCAAGACAAAUUUCUGUAGGCCAUAAGACUAAUUGCAUGCCAAAUUUAAUAGACCAUACUGAGGUGAUGAUGGAAAACUUCACUCUUACCCAAUAAAAACAUCCAUAAAGUUAAUUAUGAUUGGGAGAAGAAGGUAAAGGGAAAAAGAAAAAGAAAAGACAAUUCCGUAACAAGAGAGCAUCAGGAUUCCUGAAUCACUGGGGGGAAAAAAGGGCUGCAAGAAUUUGCUUCAAACUCCAACCACAAAGAAGAUAGAGCAAUCGAGCAGCUUUUCAUUGGAAGCAAAAAAGGAGCUUCCCUCCCAGCCCAAGCAACCCCACCACCAUCACCUCGGCCCACACUUGUUUAUUACUAGGCACACCUCGGCCCACACUCCAACCAACAUUAACCACCCCAGGUCAAAAGCAAAGGGCGCCCGUGUAACCACAAAAUGACUCCAUCCCCCAAGCAAAAAGGUCGACAUAAAUAUUACUUCGUGCUUAUGCUGCUUGUGUUUGUUUGGUGUGUGGUGUGUGGUGUUUUCUGUACGAGAGAGAGAGAGGAGGGGGGGGGGGGGGAGAGAGAGAGAGCGAGAGCUGUUUUGGUGUGUUGUUGUGGAGAAGACAGACCACGGAAUCGAAUCCGAGCGCCGAUGUCCGAAUCCCCCCGCUGUUAUCUCCUUGUAGCAACCCUGCGCUUGAGCAGAACCCAAGGAGAUGCAACCCCUCUGUCUCGGCCUCUCUCCCUUGCCACCACCCUAUAACUCUAAUUAUUGCUGUGGUUAUUGCUGUUGUUGCUAUCCUCCUCCUCCUACUACUAACACCACUGCUGCUGCUGCGGCUGUAGUAGGAGUUGCUGCUGUUACGAUCUCAGCUGCCUUUACCCUUUGGCUCGCUCUCCUUCGCCGAGUCCAUCCACUGGCAUGCGGAGAGCUUCUUCCCCUUGUUUUUUCUGAUGGCCUCCACCUCUUUCCUCCUCUUCCCUCCCCCAGCUCAUGACUCGUCUCCCUCCUCCGCUGAUCAGCCCAACUCCAACUGCUCCUCCUCCUCCUCCUCCUCUCUUAUUAGAGCCAACUCUUCUCCACUUCCUCCCCUCCAACCACUACUGUUGUUGCCUCCUCAGCAGUUCCAUUAUUUUCGUCAGCAACAGCAUCAGCAGGAGGAACAGCUUCUGCAACUCCUCUAUCUCCAGCAGCAGCAGCAGCAGCAGCAGCAGCAGCAGGAGGAACAAGAUAAGAUGGUGAGGAAGAGGCUGGCUUCGGAGCUCGACCUCCAGUCCGACUCUCCAUACGGCCCUGCUCGCCUCUCUCGCCGCACCACAACCGGUGCCUCCUCCUCUUCCUCCGCCAAUCCUACGUUCCUAGGGGAUGUCCUCCCCGGCCAGCCCUCUCCACUGUUCAAUCCGCCUUCGACGCUUCCCGUUGACGUCGGCCAACAAAGCGCCGCUGCUUCCGUUUUGUUGCCAGUUACUACUAGUAGUACUCCGCCUGGCCUUCUACCGUCUUUGCCUGCUCCUCCGCCUCCAGCUCUUCCUUCGCUGGCCGUCUGUGGGUUCUCAGGCUUGCCCCUCUUUCCGCCCGAUGAUGAUCGUAUUGCUUUGCCUUCUUCGAACGCAGAGGGACUGCAGCUUGUUUCUGCCUCUGCCAUCGGCGGUGGUGGUGGGAGCUCCGAUGAUGCCGGGGUAGGUACCGCUUGGGUGGACGGGAUUAUCCGCGAUAUCAUUAAUAGCUCCGCCGGCGGGGAGGUUUCCAUCCCUCAGAUAGUUAACAGCGUCCGCGAGAUAGUACACCCAUGCAACCCAGGCUUGGCGGCCCUCCUAGAGUUCCGACUCCAGUCGCUCUCAUCCGACCCAUCGCCGGCCGCAGCACUGCACUCGCUUCCCAAUAGCGCAGCGCUGGAUCCCUCCGACAAACGGCGGAGGGACACGAGGGUGGCUCCGCCGCUGCCGGAGACAGUACAAGCACCGAAACGAGCCAACCAGGCGCCGCCCUUCACAUUCGCCCCAGCAGUUGCUGGCGGCGGAUGGGAAGAACCAACAAGCCGCCUCCAAAGCGCACAACAGAACCCGCAGCCACAACAGCAACCACAACCCCAACCUCAACCUCAAAGGAGCUCCACCUCCGUUUCCUCGGACGAGGCAACGGCGGCGACGGCGGCUGCCUCAGCGGCAGCGGCAGCGGCCGCGAGGAAGAGGGAAGAGAUGCAACAGAGGAAGAGGGACGAGGAGGGCCUCCACCUGCUGACGCUCCUGCUCCACUGCGCGGAAGCGGUAGCCGCCGACAACUUGGAGGAGGCGAACCGGUUGCUACUGGAGAUCUCGGAGCUGUCGACCCCCUUCGGCACGUCGGCUCAGCGCGUUGCUGCCUACUUCUCGGAGGCAAUGUCGGCUCGUCUGGUGAGCUCGUGCCUGGGCCUGUACGCGCCGCUUCCGACCGUGCCCCACCGCCACCGUCUGGCCUCCGCCUUCCAGGUUUUCAACGGUAUCAGCCCCUUCGUAAAGUUCUCCCACUUCACGGCCAACCAGGCGAUACAGGAGGCGUUCGAGCGGGAGGACCGUGUUCACAUCAUCGAUUUCGACAUCAUGCAGGGCCUCCAGUGGCCGGGCCUCUUCCACAUCCUGGCCUCCCGCCCCGGCGGCCCUCCGCGGGUGCGCCUCACCGGCCUCGGAUCCUCCAUGGACGCUCUCGAGGCCACUGGCAAGCGCCUUUCCGACUUCGCCGAGACGCUCGGCCUCCCCUUCGAGUUCGUUCCAGUUGCCGAGAAGGUCGGCAACCUGGACCCCGAGCGCCUCGGCGUGUCCCGCCGUGAGGCCCUCGCGGUGCACUGGCUGCACCACUCGCUCUACGACGUCACCGGUUCGGACACCAACACUCUCUGGCUUCUCCAAAGGUAGAUGCGUAGUCUCCUUCGCAAUGCUUGUAGCUUGCUUCUUUUUCUCCUCUUCAAUCCCUUUGUUCUUUUAGUGCAAUAGCUACUACUACUACUACUGAGCUUGAAAAUAGAACGAACUGGCUGCACUUGGCUCUUAUUUUUUCCUCUCUUCUCUUCCUCACACUUCACAUGAUCUUAUUCCACUUCUCCUCCUGCUGUGAGAUUCAGACUUGCUUUGAAGGACUAACUAUAACUACUUUGUAUUCAUUACCUUCCAAUCCUCCGUGAAAGCUCCUUGGCUUCAAUCCGAGUUUCCUCAUCUGUGAUAUAUCUUUCUCGUCUCCCGUGAUAAUACUUUUUCUUCGAAAAUGCAUCUUUACAGCUUCGACAAAGAAGAAGUUAAUAGUUGUCAAAGAACAAUGUUUAAUAUUCUUUAGCUUUGGUUUGUCCAAAGUCAAAUGUAAUACUAAUCAGACAACUUUCCGUCACUCGUGGAAGAAGAGACGACGUCGUUGGAGGCCGGUUGGUUAACAGAGAUUGAUUGAGAGGCUUUUGAGUUGCUCAUGUCUUCUCUGCAGACUCUUUUUCUCCUCUCUCCCUUUUCGUCCAUUAAUCAUUAUCGUUACUUUUAAAAGUAGUGACGAUGAAGACGGUCGAUUUAGGAACAACAUUAAUUAAUUUGCAUGUGAUCGUGGGUGUGUAGGUUGGCACCCAAGAUUGUAACAAUGGUGGAGCAAGAUCUCAGCCAAGCAGGUUCUUUCUUGGCUCGGUUCGUGGAGGCGAUCCACUACUACUCGGCCCUCUUCGAUUCGCUCGGCGCCAGCUACGGCGAGGACAGCCAGGAACGGCACAUUGUCGAGCAGCAGCUGCUGUCUCGGGAGAUCCGCAACGUGCUCGCCGUGGGUGGCCCGGCGCGCACCGGCGAGGUCAAGUUCAGCAACUGGAGGGAGAAGCUUAGUCAGUCUGGCUUCCGUGGGGUCUCGCUCGCAGGCAAUGCAGCAGCCCAGGCCACCCUCCUCCUGGGCAUGUUCCCCUCCGACGGCUACACCUUGGUCGAGGAGAACGGCACGCUCAAGCUGGGAUGGAAGGAUCUCUGCUUGCUUACAGCUUCAGCUUGGAGACCGAUCAACCACCACCAGGCCGCCGCCACCUCCACCCUAGUUGGCGCCACUCGGUAGGAGAAGAACGAUACAUUUCAUUGUUAUUCCAAGUAGGUAUUGCAUGUUACUUGUUAGUUACUCGAUAGUUCUCAGAGUUACAAAACCUCAUCUUCUUCUUCUUCUUCUUCUUCGUCUUACCACCUACCACUGCUUUUCCUGUGUGCAAGAGACUGAUGUCUUGCCUAACGAAGUGGUUGGGUGAGGAGAGAACGCAUGUCAUAGAUCUGUCUUUGCUAUGAAUGCUUUGAACUAGGUGAGGUUAGCAGCGACACUGCUUUUUCUUCUAUGGCUAUUUCCAAUGACAUGUCCCUUUCGCUCUUACAAGCUGUACCAGCCCUGGGACUGAGAUAGGGAGAGGCACUACGGUUUUGUUUGCUAUCACAAGAGAUAGAGAGAGAGAGAGAAGGAAGACACAGUGAGUUGGCUGUGGGCGUGAUUUAUCUCUGUCAGACAGCUAUUACACACAUGUGUAGCCUGCAGUGAGUUGGCUGCCUUCCGGUGAAACCCGGUAAUGAUGAACAUUUUUUUACCACUUGGAGGAAGCUAAGCAUGUUAGGUCUUUAAUGUUUCUGAGGGCUGUGUUUCUGGGACGUAUUCGACACUCAUCUCAAUCUUACCUUGCGGAUUCAUCUUAAUCGUUAGGGUUUAUGGCAGUGGUUGGCCCAGCAAGAUAUAGCAAGGGUGUACGUGACUGCAGCAGCCUCAAGUGUCAUUGUCAGGUGGAAAGCGUUGGUCAAGCCAUUGAUUUGGUAGAAAAGAAUGAGCAAAGCUCAUCAAUCCCCCUCUCAGUCCCGCUUUUCUAUCAACUGCCGUGCAUUUAGACCAUUGCUGAUUAUAUCAUCUUUUGGUUGUGAUUAAGGUGAUUACAAAUCACUCUAAACAGUUGUUUCUUCUUGAUAACCAUAGUUAAUAUUACUUUCCCAACUACACCCAAGAUUUUUUAUAUGAAGCAUUUCUAAAGAAAAUGAAGUGCAUAUUCUUUAUCCUCGGAAGCAACUAAGAAAAGGAGAACUAGAAAUAAAUGAAAUAUAUAUAUCUUAAAUAUUUUUUAAAAUAUUCCAGAGCCGAGAUCAAGAAGAACUAAUUUAGAAUUAAUUCAACAUAUUUUUGAAUGUCUCAACUCGUUUAGCUAGUAAAAAUCUUGAUAAUCUAUUGUAAAAUCUUGAGCUCGAAUUUUAUUUUCGCCAUUUGUCCUUUAAAAAAAAUUAUGAAGACUGAAUAAGGAUUAUAUAGAUUAAAUAUUAUCCGAUUUUAUUUGCCCCCAAAGGUUGUAGAUGGUGGAAAUUGAGAUGAGCUGCAAUUAUAUUAUAUUAUACUAUCUGAUUUAGUUUAAAUUCAAGAUUAACUGGGCCUAGUGACUUAGUUGAGUCGAGAUAUCAUAGUGCUAAGAUGGUUUCUAACUUGAUGUAUAUUUUCCAUCGAGUUGUAACUCUUAUUAUUGAUUUUGUGAAGUCCAAUAGUUCCUAUAACAUCGAUAUGGAUGAUAGUGUCCUUAUUACAUUUUUAAGGGACUCUAAAGGCAUUUGGUUAUUAGUAUGGUGAUAGAAAAUUUGGAAAACUUUGGCCAGUGAUAUCUAAUAAUAAUAUUAGGGAUCAAGGAAUAGCAUUGUGUAUCUUUUGAUGAUAUUAUUAAAUUAGACUGUAAGAUCUCAGAUGUCAUGAAGCCUUUGUUGAUUUGUAGAGAGAAUACACCCGUAAAUAUUCUAGACAGAACUUUAAAUCUCUUUCAUCAAGUUUAGAACUCUCAUUCUAUUGGUCAUUAUCUUUCAUCAAAAUUCAAUUAUGUCUUCAAUAUAUAAGUUAUUAAGCUACAUAAUCUAACAUUCUACUAGUUAACCCAUUAACAAGUUAAAAUAUAAGAUAAAAGUUUAAAAUAAUAAUAAAAAUAAAUUUUCAAAUGCCAAUAGGGAUGGAUAGAUGCUGGCUUCACCACAUUUUAAUAUUAUACCUGAUACCCCAAGGAUUAAUGAAAUCAUAUGUGGCUUAAACCAUCUUAAUCCAAAUGCAGUUGGAAUUAGUAACAUAUUGACAAGUACAUUUAGCAUGCAAAGCAUUUUUCAUCACAUGUAGAUACUCAACACCAAGACCCCUAGCCAGCCCCUUUAGGGAAGAUAACAGUGUUCCAAGCCAGAAUAUGCAAGCCAUUAGAGUUAGGUUCGUUACUUCAAAGAAAGUUUUUAGUAAUCUUAAUGAUAUUGUUAAGAAUCUCACUCGAUAUACAAGUGACACUAAGAGAACGAAGAGGAAUGGAGUUAAAGAAUAAAAUUAAUAAGCACAACCCUACCAACUCAUGACAAAAAGGUGCUAUGCCAUGUUCCAAAUCUAUUUACAAAAGGUUUGGUAAGUUCGCUAAACGUUGAAGGGCGAAUUCUCCUUGUGCGAUGAGAGUGCCAGGAUACCUAAAGGGAAAGUUAUCAUAUUUAAGUUGUUCCAUAUUUCUAUUAGUAUCCCGAGGAAAAUAAAUUUCAGAUUUAGAGGUGUUAACCUUUUGAUUAGUAAAAUCUUUAUAGGUUUGAAAUAUAUUAAGAAUGAAACGAUAAGACUUUGCUCAAACAAAAUAAUAUAUCAUCUAUCAUCCGCAUAUAAUUUUAGUCAUUUUGAAUUUAGCUAGAUUACUUAAGUCUUUAUAGUUUACUCACGUCUAAAAUAACUCGUAUAUUUUAAAAAACAUAGCGCAGAGGUUCAUCUUGUCAAGUCUGAGUUAAUAGAUAUUAGAAUCUACAAGUUGAUUUAUAAUAAACUAUUAAUAUAAUGAUAUGUAUAAUUUAAGUUUAAAAAAAAAUUAAAGUCUAUUUUAGCCCCUAUGAUUUGGGUCAUGAACUACUUAAGCUCUUAUGGUUUACUCACGUCUAAAAUAAUUAUUAAAACCGUAACAUAUAAGUCUCUUUCGUCAAGUUUGAGUUAACAGAUAUUAGAGCAUGUGGUAUGUUGACUCACAAUAAAUUAUUAAUAUAAUAACACAUAUAAUUUAAAUUAAAAAAAAAGUUAAGGUCUAUCUUGUCGAGGAAGAAGACGAAGCAGAGAUCGUAGCAACAGACGCAGGCGGAGAGGCAGAGGUAUGAGAGACUGAAGGUAGAGGUGAGGGAAAGAUGGACCACCACAUCAUAGGCAUGAUGGGUGGGGACACAAGAGAGGACGAAGUGGGAGGUGAUGGGGACGAAAACGCUCAUGAGGAGGAAGAGGGACUCGGAGACCACUGUGUCUCUAGCGUCGAAUUGAUCAAUACACAUCCACCUAAGGCAGGACUAGAAGCUCAUGAGCACGUCGUUAGCGUGAGAAAGGUUACGUGCAUACAAUGCCCUAUUAGGCAACAGCGGGUUGAUGCUAUUAUUGGUGGUCGCUUCCACGACGAUGCCUCCUCCCGUCAUUGAUUAUGGUCUUAGUUUUUUUUUUAACUUAAAUUACAUAUGUCAUUAUAUUAAUUUAUUAUGAGUUAGUAUAUCAUGUGAGUAGAUUCUAAUAUCUAUUAACUUAAACUUGACCAGAGAAGCUUAUAUAUUAUAUUUUUUAAAAUAUAAGAUUUAUUUUAGAUACGGAUAUAUCAUAAGGGCUUAAGUAGUCCAUAGCUAAAACCACAAGAGCUAAAAUGGAUCUUAACCUUUUUUUUAAAACUUAAAUUAUACGUAUCAUUAUAUUAAUGGUUUAUUAUGAGUUAGUAUACUAUAUAAGCAGACUUUUAUAUUUAUUAACUCAAACUUGAUAGGAGAGGUUUAUAUGUUAUAUUUUUAAAAAUAUAAGAAUUAUUUUAGACACCAAUAAACCAUAAGGGUUUGAGUGGUCCAUGACCAAAACUAUAGGGGCUAAAAUGGAUCUUAAUUUUUUUUAAACUUAAAUUAUAUAUAUUAUUAUAUUAAUAGUUUAUUGUAAGUCAGCAUGUCACGUAAGUAGACUUUAACAUUUGUUAAUUCAAACUUGACGGGAGGAAUUUAUAUACUAUAUUUUUUAAAAUAUAAUGAUUAUUUUAGAUAUGAAUAAAAAAUGUAUAGAUAUAAUUAAAGAAUAUCCUUUGAUAUAUACCCUUUUGAAUAGAGACUGAUUUUUGAGUUGGAUAUGCUAAUAAGGGGUAGUAUUACAAGAGUUUGAAACAAUAUUAUGUGCAUCCACAUACUAAACCUUAAAAUGUUGAAAUUUAAACAAUUUGUUAAAUGCAAUAAAAACCUUAGCAAUUUGUAGAAGGACGAGAUGAUGAUCAGAAUAAUUUCUAGGCAUAUGUUUAACAAUUAAAUUACCAAAAAUAUUAAUCCAAGCACAAUUGGCAAAACCAUGAUGAAUUGGCAGAACCAAAAUAUCAAAAUUACCAAAUCAUUUGUUGGACCAAGUAAAUCAUUGUCCGAUGAAACCAAGAUCAAUUAAACUAGUAUUUUUAAUAAAACUAUUAAACAUACGAAUUGAAGAAUUGUUGGAAAAGCAACAGCCACCAAAUUUGUCACAAGAACUAUUGAUACAGUUAAAAUCAGUAGGAAUUAAGAAAGGAAAUUCACUCAUAUCUAAAGAUCCAAGGACUUUCCAUAGAAAAUUUUGAGAAACAAGAGAGACAAUGGCAUAAAUUCCGGUUAAAACCCAUGCAGGAGAAUUCAUAUACUGUAUAACUAUAUGAAGACAUUGAGUUUGGAAGGAAAGCACUUUGGCAUUAAUAAAGGAUGAGUUCCAAAGUAAUGCAAACCAUAGGAAGAUCCGAGUACCGUCGGAUGUGCAAAGUGUUUCCAAGUAAACUUCUCUGAUAAUAUGAUCGAACAGUACCAAAACCCUCAACAUUUUCUUUUACUUGGUUGCCAUGGAAGAGGUAGUCAUACAGGUAUUUGAUUGUCAGAGAAGAGCUGAAUCGAAAGAUUGAUGCCAUGUUAGUCUAGUCUCCAAGAAUAUUAAAGUCCGAUAUCUAUUAGUUGAAAUACUUAUUUAUUUUUAAAUAUUAGUAGCUAGAAAACUCGGUUCUAAGAUAAUCUAAGAUGAUCGACCUAACCCUAAGGUAUCAAUCUUGGCCUAAACUCAUGAAGUCAACCCAAUGAAAGCAACUAAGAUGAUUUUUAUAAAUAUAAAUAUUUAUUACCUCUUCAUAAACAAGUCUAGGAGGUAAUAAAUAUACUUUUGUAAAUAUUAAUAAUUAUAAUAGAUAUACUUCAACAUAUUUCUUAGCAUAUAAAAUCAUUAUUUUAAAUAUUUUACAAAAUUUUAUAAAUAAGUUUUUAAAAAAAGUUUUAUGAUUUUUUCUAUUCAUAGUGAUCAUGAUAAUGAAAAUUUUAUAAUUUUUAAAAAUUUUAUUAUUUAAAUGGGUAUGAUCAUAAUUUCUCUACUCUAGAAAAUUUAUAAAAAAAAUAGAGUUAUGGAGAGAAAGAAUAGGAGUUUACAAAAGAUGACAAAGAUCAUACUUAAUAAACAUAACCUACCCAAAUACUUUUGGAUCAAAACUGUUAACAUGAUAUGAUAUGUCAUAAACAGGUUUCUUAUACGACCUUGUAUGUCUAAAACUCUUUAUAUAUUUAUAGAAUAAUAAAAGGCACAGUAUCUCAUAUUUUAAAAUUUUUGGUUAUGAAUUUUUGACAAGGAUACCUUAAGAAACUAUAAUAUAAAAUUUGAUGAAAGUAUUUUUUUGGAUAUUACACUAUCUCUAAAGUUUAUUUAGUUUUGAAUAAGAGUUUCCUAAUAUUAAAGAAUCUAUUCAUUUUUUAUAAAUCUCUUGGUACUUAGAAAAAUAAUUUUGAUGAUAAUUUUAAAUUUAAUAAAUUAAAUUUGAAUGAGAAUUCUACUCUAUGAAGUAACUCAAAUAUAUCUGUUUCUAAGCCCAUCCUAAGGAGCUAACCUAUUUAUUUAAACAAGUAUUUAAGGGUUUAGGUUUUAACAAUCCUAUGGUAUCAUUCUGCUUGGACCAUAUUCUAUGAAUUUGUUUGAUUGAACUUGCAUAAGAAUUGCAAUAAUUAUCAUAAAAAUGAGAAUGACGAUAAAUAAAAAUAAGGAUAAGGGAAUGUUGAAUAUGAUGAGUGAAUUGAAUGAGGGGUGUAUAAUAAAAGAAAAGGCUAAAACGGAGAGAGAGAGAGAGGGGAUGAGAAAAAUUGAUUCGUAGAUAUCCAACCUAAGCAACAAAAAAGAAACACAAGUGUGAUAUCUUAGCUUAAGCAAUAGAAAAACAAGUACUGUAAGUAAAAACACCAUUGGUUUAAGGAGGAAGCCCUAAGUCAUUCGAAAUGGCUUAUGUUGCGUUGAAUCGAAACCUUAAUCUUUUUGCCAGUUAGCUUAAAGGAGAUUGGACUUUUACAGGAGCUGCUAAUGAUAGGCUACGAGAGAGUAAAGAGGAAGGCACGGCAUAGAUCUUGGACUCAGUUCCAAGGACUCCAAUUCACAUCGAAGUUUUUCUUUUAUCUUUUUAUUUAUCUACUUAUUAUAAAUCUAAAAUAUAAUAUCAUGAUUGCAUAAGAUGUUAUCUUAUGAUAAUACAAUAAAGUUAAUUGAAUUUGAACCCGAGUUCAUCAUCAAAAUGUGAUUUGAUUUCCAUCAGGAUGUCUUUUAACGCAUGGAAACUAUAAAUAUUUUGGUUUCAACUUUGAGAAGCACUACUGGUGAUAGAGUUUUUAGUUAUCAUUGACAACGUGAGGGUACGGGAAAAAGGUGCUUUGCUAUAAAUCUAGAAGUAGAUGGUAGUGAACAAUAAUGAGACAAUGAAAGAUAAAUUGUAGGGUUAGUGGGCUAGUGAUGUGCUCGUCACAAAUGGUGCCGAGAAUAGAUGGACGGUGGCAACCUACGAUAGUGGGCGCAAUGAUACAAGUAUAUAUCUAUUAUCAAUUUGGCAAGGGGACGGUGGUAGAGUUAAUGGUUAUGAGUAAUAAUAGGAAGAAAAGGAUGUUUGGCAAAAGGGAUCAUGGUCAUUUAUUCCUCAACCAUCUUUCCUGAUUUCACUUCUAGUUAUGGGAUCCAAACUUUUAGUAUAUUAGUACAAGGAAAGUUGCCUUGCUCUUUCGCAGUGUAGAAUUGGUCAUGGUUGAGCUGAUUGGGUCCACUUCUUGGAGGUUGUCUCGUCUUAAAAAUUGGAUCUUCGAGGAGGGUGCAGAUGACUUACUCAUAAAACUCAUAAUGCUUUAAUGCUCAACUCAGUUCAAGUCCUACAUGAUGAUCGAAAAUGAAGUAUCGAAACUUAAAUGAUACUGCUCUUAUUUAUAAAGUGAUAAGGAAUUAUUCCUUCAAAAAAAGAUUAUUCUCCUCUCCAUGUCAUGUUGACAUGGCAAGUCAGGUUGACUGGGAAACUGCAUGCCGAUUCCUAUCAAGUCCUAGUUGUCCUAAAGUAUUGACCAUAUCACUUGUUCCUACGUUGCACUUUUAGAAGUCUUGUUCAUGUAUGUCUAUGGAACUCGAGCAUUUGCCCUCUCGUGGUCGAUAUUUUCAACCAGACUCGAAAUGUAGAGCCUAGUCCAUCAAACCUGCCAUGUGAGCAUGAGCUAGACUGAAGAGUUUAUUGGAAUACUCUGAAAUAUUUUGUCAUCACCGUAAGUAGAAGGUAUGAUUUGUACUACCUAGAUCAUCAAAGUGGGCAUGGUAUGAUACUAGUUUUGUAGGUGAUGGUUGUUGUUGAUGAACUGAUGUGCCGUGGUUGAUGACUCAGCCACGGCCUAGUCCACGGGGCAAUGUCAGGAGUCUCCGGUCGGCUGAGCUGGUUUUCAAGGUCGAUCGACCACCACUUUGCGUGUCGGUGCUGGGAGUUGGGCCAGCGUUUUUCGCCUGAGGGUGGCAGCUUCUCUGUAAAAAAGACCUUCGUCGGGUGUUUUUUAACUUUGGUCCUUCCGGCGAUCAAGUCAAUGGUGGGUUGGAUCCUUUUUUCCUCCCCUUGGGUCGGAUGUCGGCCCGAGGCUUUUAUACUAUUGUAUGAGGGUCGAUCAUAUGCGGGCGUAGCGACCGGUUCACGAGAGAUGAGAAGGUACCUUUGUGCGGCCACCACCCCGGGAUGUGCGGAACGGUGCCAUGUGGCAAUUGCUUUUUAUCAUGGUUCAAGGCAAUUUCAGGUCUCUAGAUUUUAUUAUUCUCAAAACUCCAUAAAAUCUUUUUAUAUAAUAUUCAAAUGUUUUUUAUCCAAAGUGGUUCUAAAUUCACAUUUAAAUUGAGGAAAAUUAAACAAAAUGGCACAAAUUGAAUUAAAACUUAUAAAAAUAUCUAUUUAAAAGGCUUAAAAUGAAAAAAAUGGUCAAUUAGGCCUUUAUAGAUUGUUUUCAAAGUUUUCUAAAAAUUUGAGAAUUUUUAAAAAAAUAACAGGUGAGCUAUACUGUUUUCAAAUGGGGUUAUAUUAUUUUUUAAUAGAAUCUCAAAAACAAUAGAACCCCAUAAGUGAUUGUAAACUCACCUUAAAUUUGGUAAACUAAAAAAAACAUCAAUUCAACCUUUUAAGGUCUAAAAUGAAUAAAAAUACCAAUUAAAGACUUAAAAAUGGAGAAUUAGGCAUUUGGUCCUUUGUUAGUUAUUCUCAAGGUUUUUUGAAAUUGUAAUUCUUUUAGAUAUUAUUAUGAUUUAUGUGAAUUAUAAAUAAUAAUGUUUAAAUAUUUAAGGAAAAGGUUGUGUACAUUUAGUCCUUAUGCACUAGGUAUGCCCUUUUUAAUUAUUAUUCAUUUAAAUUAUAUAAAUAAUAUUAUUUAAUUUUUAUUUUAUAUUUAAUAAUAUUUUAAUUGUAAUUUUAAGAUGAAUUUUAUAUAACUCUUUGGUAUUUUUGUUAACAUAAAAAUAUAUGUAUUAAUAUCAUUUAUUUUUUUAAUAUUAUUUAUUUUGGACCGAUAUAAGUUUCGGCUUAAUUAAAUAAGUUCGAUUGAAUGGAUUGUUUUAGUUGAAUGAAUUUGAAAAUGAAUGAAAAUAAGAAAAACCGAUAAAAAAAGUGUCGAUGACACUUUUAUCCAACUUAAAAAACAGAAACGCUACGAGGGGGAAAAAAAAACCAACAUAGAAAAAAAAAAUAGAAAAAAAAGACAAAAGCAUGAGUAUAUCUAUGGAGAUGGCCACUUUGUUUGUCAUCCCUGCUCAACUCACCGCCUCUCGUUGGUUGCACUCCUCUUAUCCCCACCAUGGUAAUCGGCAUCCUUGCUGUUGGGGAACAGAUGUGUUAUGGUUGAUGAGUCAGCACGGUUUAGUCCACGGGUCGAUAUCGGGAGUCAACUGAAUUCUCAAGUCGGGGGAUUGGUCGAUGACUCGUCGCGGGUAUGCCAAUUCAUGACUUCCGAGGUUGGGCCCCUUCGAUGAGCAAGUCAGUAGUCUUCCUUUUUUUUUUCCCUUUUGGAGACCGGGAUAGAGGUCUUUAUACUACCGUGAGAGGGUCGGUUGUACACGGAUUGACGCGGUGGAUACAACACGACAUCAGUACGGAUUCUGGCUUGGCAUGCAAGGCAUUGCUAUUUUGAGAUUGUCGGGGCCGGACGUGUCAAACAGUGUCUUAGCAUUCGUCAAAACAUGUCUUAUCACCUGCUACCCCAGCAUUCAUCAAUCAUAUUUGCAGUCAACACCAAUAAGCACCUCAACCUCAUUAGAACAGGACUUACGAGUCAAAUGUGUUUGAGAGCAAUUCAUAUUGAUGAGGAAACCGACUUGGUUCCAACUACUUGAAGGCUUUGCGCAACAGCACCUAAGACUCCAUAAAGGUUAGGUUACUGUAGUGGGAAUAGGAUGAGCAGCAAGUGGUAACAUUAUAUAAUAAACAGAGACAUGGGAGCCCAAUGACAUUGAACUGUUAUUUAUUAUUUUGUGUUAAUUUUCUAUCAUUUUCAGCAUUAAGAUUAAUCUAGUUUCUUUUCGUCAAACCAAAGUAGCACUAGUUGGAGGCAUAACUUUUAGUAGCCAGUUAGCUUCAAACCAAUAUAUCACUCAUUAAAUGCAUAACUUUUAGCAGCUGGAUGAUACUAUGUGGCUGACUAAAAAAUUGCUCUUACUGGACAAACCAUAAUUUAGGACAUUUCAAAGGCACUAUGUUCUACCUAGGCAAAGAGAAGGUAGGAGGAGUAAAGAAGCAACUGUAGGUUGGCACAAGCUUUUGUUGUUUAAAGGUCAAGCAUCAACCUCUGAGGAUAGCAUAGGAAAAGGGACAAUAGUUAGAGCAACAAGGAGCAAUUCUUUUUUGGGGUUAGCUAAAUUACUUUGUGGAUUGAUUGGAGUACAUUUCAGAUUUUCUUUUUUUCAAUUUUGUGUUUUGUCAUUUGGGUCCAUCAGGAAAUUCCCAUUGAAAUUUGGAUGCAUAUGAAACAGUGCUAUGGUCUCCUUCCAUACUAAUAUUGUACAUCUUAAACAAGAUUUAUUGUUUGUGUUAGUAUCUACUUGGGUUGUUUGUGAAGGAAUGUUGUUUUUUUGUUGUGGAAUUUGGAUGAUAUUGAAUAUUUGGGAUUUAUAUUAAACAAAAUCUAAAGUGAGUGAUGAUGUGGAACUAUUUAUGUAACCUCCAUUUAAUUGAAGAUUAUUAUUUUUAAUUAAAGACUUGAAGUGACUAUUGUUACACCAGUUUUAAUCUUUUGUGCAAGCAGCCUUACAAGUCAAGUUUUUUAAUAUUUAUCUAUUUUGGUUUAUUUGCAGGUAUAUAUAUAUAUAAGCAGCCUUAGGUAUUUUAGGUUUGUCUUGAGAUUUGAGCAGCCUCAUUUGUCCUAAUCUAGAUUAAAAAUACCGAAGAUCCCUAAGAAUGCAUCAACUUCAACCUGACUCUCGUCGAAAAAUAUGAGUCUCGCGAAUUAUAUUUGAAUAUGACAUAUUCAUAAGAAAAUUUUUGUGUAAAAAAUGAGACAUGAAACAUUAUCCUUUUCAUUUUGUGUUAAUGUAGGUUUAAGAUAUUUUAUCACAAUUAAUAAGAAAAAAGUUAUCGAGUUCAUAAAACUGAUAAAAGAAUGUUUCUAAUGAAAUAAAUUAAUUUAUUAAAUGUUCAAAGUUUGAUAAUAUACUUUGAACUUUUUAGACAAGUUUUUAAAUUUGAUAACAAUACUAUGAAUAUUAAUAAAAUUAGUUUCAAAUAUUUGAUUAUAGAUUCUAAUUCCAAGUUCAAGAACAUGUUACAUACUAAAAUUCCAGUGAUUGUCAAUAUUUCAUUUGUUUUCUAGCCAAUUCUGCUCCAGUUGAUCUGAUAUGUCAAUCUGGUCUUGUGUUCAUUAAUUUGGUCUGAUGUUCCAAUUCCAUCAUUACAAAUUACCAUCACUAAUCAGCCUAAGAUUUAUCUAACCUAUUUAUGCCUGUUUUAUUGGAUGCAAUACAGGAAAUCAUUGUCGACUUUUCAAGUGCUACUUAUAUUACAACAGUUUCCUUAUUACCUUAUGUUGGAUCUGGUAACACAUUGUAUAUGUGAUGUGUGAUGAUCCACAUUGUAAAUUGCCUCAUUAUGGUUUGGCUUCAUGAUCCACAUCUUUUGUUUAAGGUAAUUUAAAUCCAGAUGACAGCAAAGUCAUCUGUUUCCACUGACAAAAAGUAUUCGUUCACAAUUCUUAGAACAUUGGAUCCUCUAUCAUGUUGUGCUUUCUAAUCUUCGUUUAUCAAUAGAAAACUCUUCCAGGUUUGCUUGCUGGUAAGUACUUGUUCAAGCCACCAGCAAAACUAGUCAUUGAAAGGAAGGUAAAGGAAUUUGGGCAAAAUUGUACGCCUAUUGUUCUUCUUUGUCUCCUUGUUUUAGCAGUUUUCACCAUCACUUACCCUCUGUGGCAGCUGUUAAAUUCGACCAUAGUGUCCUAUGAAUCAUUAGCCUACUCAAUUGUGUACAACCAACAACAGGGGUGGCUCACUUCCAAUGUAACAAUCAACCACCUAUAGCAUCUGUUGAGUGGAGUUCACAUGAAGCAUCUAUUACAAGCAGUUGUUUCAUCUGCAUAUGAUCAAUUGACGUGAUUUCUUUCAUCGGGUACUAAAUAUUACUAUGCUGUUUUUUCUGUGCUCUCUGUUGGCAUAUGUAACAUCUUUGUCAAUUAUACAUUAUUCUUUAGGUGGUGAUUUUGAUUAAUGUGUUAAAGAUAACUGGGUAGAGGAUGUGGAUUUGCUGAUUUCUUCAACUAGAACUUCAAUUGUUUUAGGCCUUUGUUUCUUGUGAGUGGCUCGUUAUGUAUGUAUCUGUCUCAAUUGUGUUGUUAUUAGUGAACUCAAUCUUCAAAUGGAAUAUAUCAAAAUAUUAAAUCAAAACCUGGCUGAUCAACAUACACAACAAUUUGGAGGAAUUUUAUAUAAAUGAUAACAAAUUGUAGGAUUUAUGCACAAAUUCAAAAAGAUUCAAGGGACUGAUAUUAAAGAAAUUAAACUAUGAGAAGGAAAGUAUUUCAUUUCUCAAUUUCUCAACAACCAAAAGAUUUUUGGAGGGCCCCUAUCUGAAAAACAGCAAAUAAAUUACUAUUCCAACUAAAGUUAAACAAAUCCCUUUGCUGCCAAUGGCAACCUAAAACACUGAUAUCAAUUUCAGCAAAAAAGAUUGAUAGACAGAGAGGAUAGGUUAAAUGAAGCACACAUCGAUAUGAACAAACUCAGGCAAGGUAAGCAGCUAGUUUUGGAAUAGAAAACCUACUUCUAUAACUAAAAUCACGUAUUCCAUAUACAAGGCAAGAAACUACCAUGAGAAUAAACAAGUAAAGCUGCCAUUACGCACCAAGUAGCUCAAACUAGUUUAUCCUUGUAUUGCAUCUCAUGCUGCCUCUUUCGCUUCGGCAGCUUAAUGAACAAGCUGCAAAUCCAUACAACCAAUAAAGUUGCCUCCAGAGGUGCAAGCCAGUACACACACAAAUGCUCCUUCGUUAGAUGCUUCCCUUGAGCAUAUGCCCAUCCAAAGGCCUGCAAAACAAACGAAAUAAUUUGUCAGAAUUAUGCAGUGUUUGAAUAUUUUUAUCUACUUUAAUAGUAUUAGUUGUGAGCAAGGAUUUUAAUUUCGAAUGAUACCACCCGUAUCGGGCGGUACGUACUGGUCCACCAGCAGACUGACACAUGGACCGCCCACUAUCGGGCAGUACCGUCGAUUGGGGUUGUUUCCGCCCCGUUACCGCUCAAAAUCGGUUGGUGACGGUCGAUUUCGACCGUCGCUGCCCACUACCGAGCGGUGUUAGCGAAGGGAGAAGAAAGAAGAGGGAGAAGAAAAGGAAAAAUCUAGAGAUCCGACACCACUCUCCCUUGGCGACCCCGAUCGGUCGUCGCCCUCCCUCGCCGGACGCUGCAAAUGAGAUGUCGCAUCCUCCUCAUCUUAGGCGACGAGGCCUCGGUGUUAUCGGCGACUUCUUAUUCGCGCGAGGAGAAGCCUCGGUGUCAUCGAGGCUUCGCGGGGAGAGGAAACGAGGCGACGUCGUCAAGACGACGUCACCCUUUUUUUAUAUUUAUAACUUUAUUAUUAUUAUUAUAUCGAACAGUACAUCAGAGUGUACCGCUCGAUACGCUCGUACCAUACCGUACCGAGCUGAACUCGAUAUGCCAGUACGAUACGAAAUUACGAACCUUGGUUGUGAGAUUCAUUGAAGUCUAUGUAUUCUUAUGUAAUCUAUACUUUAAUGAUGAAUUCCAGUUAUUACAUAACCUUUUAAAAUUUAUAUACCAAAGCCAGACAAACCGAUCAGUAGCUAGAUCAAACUUCCUCAAUGUUGAUUUCUAACUGACGAUUUGGAUUUUAGCAAAAGUGGAUAUUUAGUCCAACAUCCAACUUUCACAACAUAAUUUUAACAUAUAAAAGUGCAAAUAAAUAAGAAAACAAACUCCUCGGGUGUAUAUUCAGAGUAUCACUAAAAUACCUUAUAAGAAUUCAUUAGCUUAAUAAUCAUUUAAAAUGCUCAAAUAACAUAAAGAAGUAUCAGAUAUGUAUCCAACAAAAUAUCGAAGAAAUAUGUAUCCAUACUAUGUACUCCACAAGACCCAAUAAGCAUUUCAAAAUGUGUAUUCCUAGUGCUGCAAGGUUUUGACCCUGUCAGAAUUAAUAAAAGGGUCUUCUACUAAAUCCAGUUGUUCUUGUGUAAAGCCUUCCAUAGUAUGAUAUUAGGCUUGUUACUAAAUGUUUCCUGCUAUGGAGAAUGGUGCCCUCACAUCUUCACAUAACAUACAACUCACUGACUUUAUCAUGACACUCUGCAGCACAAGAGUUCAGAAACAUCUCCAAAAUGCACAAGAGUUCAGAAACAUCUCCAAAAUGCUUCAAGCAAUUCAGGACAACCACCAAACGUGGUCUUACAGCUCCCACUGCAUUUCAUAUACCAUCCCAAAGAUAUUUUACUACUAUGGAAGGUACUAGCUAGCUUAGCGGAUAAAGAUCAGAUCAUUGUAAGAUCUUGGCAUCAAAUUUUGUUUUCACCGCUUACCUUGGCAAAAACAAAAAACAAAAAAAUACUUUACUACAGAUAAUUUUAGUGGAUUAUAUAAUGCUAUUAUGCAUAUGCAUCAUAUUUUCUUUUGAUUUUAUCAUCUCCAUCCAUAAGUGUGCAGCUCUAUAUUUUGCACUUGAUAGUUGUUAGCUCCACGCAAUAGAAAUAUGAUUCAAAUUUAGACAAAAUGAUGUUAAAUAAAUUUCAUCAUCUUUUCAUCCAUUUACAGCCAAUCUACAAUCAACAUACCCAGCUGCAAGUGUAGAAGUAUUAACAUUCUCCUAAUAAUCAUUAAGUUCCUAAUGGCACAUUUCAUUGAAAUGACUAUAAAUGCCAGAAAAACACAAUAAUUUGCAUUUGAAAGAAAAAUACAAAAAGGGUAAGCAGCGAAAGUGGCAUUCGAGUCCAGGACCUUGUGAUAAACUAUCAAAACCUUUACCGCCCAAGCUAGUUGGCACCUUCACAUUUGAAAAAGAUGUAAUACAAUAACAAUUACUCUUGACUAGGUUUCAAAUAAUGUUAUUCCAGUUUGCAGCUUUUUGUUUGGUUGGUUGCGUGCUGAUCUAAAGGGGAACGAGAAGAGAAGUAUGAAUUCGGGCAAGCAUCAAUGUGGUGAGAGAAGGAAGGUGGGGAGAGGAGCAGCAGAGGCAAGGUAGAUAAGCAAUGGGGAAGGAAGGGAGAAGAGAGAAGCAGGGAAAGAGUAAGGGAUGGGGAGAGCAAACUGUAACAUUGAAAGGCUGACAUCCUCGGAGGGAGGAGAAGCAGAUGUAGGGAGCGAUGGGAGAAGAGCUAAUAUAAAUGCAAUAUUGAGAAAACAAAUAACAAAUUAGGUAGAUUAAAUAACGAUUUGUGUCAGGUUGGCACAACAUAAAUAAGAAAUUAAACGAUUGGAAGAAGGGUGGAAGCAUCAGGUUCUAGCAUCAAGGAGCAAAUAGAAGAGAGAGUAAGGAAAGAAGAAUGGCUCGAGAAAGGAGAGAGGAGAGGCGUGUACUGGUGGCAGGGCCCAAGGGCUAGGGAACAGGAAGAGAGAAGAAGACACAUGAACAGCAAGGAUUGGAAUCAGAAUCAGGGAAGAAGAGGAAUGGCUCGAGAAAGGAGAGAGGAGAGGCGUGUACUGGUGGCAGGGCCCAAGGGUUAGCGAACGGGAAGAGAGAACAGGACAUAUGAAUAGCAAGGAUUGGAAUCAGAAUCAGGGAAGAAGAGGAAAAGGAGUGGUCAUAGGGGUAUUGUUUUUGCUUGCCAUGAAUGUUAAGUUGUUGACCUGUAUAUUCUAGGAUUACAAACGAUGCUGACAAAAUGAUAUCCAAUCCUACAAAGCUAAACAUCUACAAAGUCUAAAUUUUACCAACACAAAAACAAGAAAAGUGAAGCCAAACAGACAGACACUAAACGAUUUGGAAUUUUUUCCUUUCAAAUAUAACUUGUUUCAUCAGAUUUUUCUACUUAUCAAGAGCCUAAAAUUUCCAGAGUACAUAUUUCCAAGUGUUAAACUCUACCUGCUUUCUUUUCAAUCAAAGAGGUCUAUAAAUCACAUGAAUUUUAGUGCAUAGUCAUAAACCAGUUACAUAUAGGUAUAACGAUGUGGAUACUGUUGAUAGCAAGAACUUUGCUGGAAUUUAUAUCAGAGCUUAGUGCUACAUGGAAAUUACUACAAUUGUUAAUUGGUUAUUAUUGUGCAAGAGAUGCUCUUCGAGACUGAUUUGUCUAGGAGGUCAAAUGUGAGAUCCGAAACGAGCAUAUCCAUUUUCCUAGAUCUCAAGCCUUAUUAUGCAAGAAUCAAGCAGAUAAGUUCACUUCAGUAAGACAGAGAAGUUGUAACUGAGGUAAUUUUGAGAACUUACAGAAGCAGGGUUCAUAACUCCACCGGUGAUGUCAGAAGCAAGGACGUGAAGUGCAAGUUUGGCAAAACUUGAUAUCCAUGUCUUAUGGGAAGAUCUUGGGAAUUUGUUUAGCCCUAGAGAGACAAUGAUAAUCGCAAAUGUAAUGAGUCCUUCAAUCAAUGCUCCAUAACUAACAUCAACAUUCAAACGAGGUCCAUUAGCCGCUGCAGGGAAGGUUGCAUUAAUUAACCAAACCCCAAUGACAGAUCCAAGAACCUGAAACCAAAUUUUGUUAGAUAGUUGCUUCCAUAUUUUUUUCUGAAACUAACAGAUAAUGAAAUUGUAAUUUUGAUUAAACUAUAAGGAAAUUUCUGUUGUAUUACCUAUGUUGCAAGUUUUGGAUGCCAUGUAACUUGAUGUCUUGAGCAUCUCAGUUUCAACCAAUUACUCUGCCAUAAUGGCAAAGUAUAAAGGUAGUGGUAACAAAGAAAUGUUUAAUCUGUAAAGAGCCAUAUUAAAAUGCAAAUUUUCUGAUAUUUUUCUGCUCAUAAAUGCAUUGAACUCAUAUCCCUCAUAGAAGAGGAACACUAUAGCUUUUUAAUCAUUAAAUUAAUAACCAUUAUGUUACCAGCAAUGAUUUUGGAAGUACCACAUAAGGACUUCGUUUUCGCUCAGACGUGAACUGUUUGGUAUUUACCGAUCCAGGCAUGAACUGAUAUGUCAAUCCAACCCAUUUGGGGUGGCUUAGUCUGGCCAUAUAUACAAAAAGAAAAAUCCUAUGCCUCCUCCUCCAUGUGGUCCAGCCCUAACCACGACAGAGAGCCUCGAUGCAUGUAGCCAACCGCCAUUACCUCCCUGUCCACUACCGCCACCAACCAGGUACGCUCCUCCUCUUCUUCCUUCCUCUUCAUCCUCCUUCUUCCUCUUCCCUGACAGCCUCCUCUUCCUCCACUGCCUCCUCUUCCUCCUUCCCCUUCUUCCUUCCUCGUCUUCCUCCACCACCUCAUUCUUCCUCAUCUUCAUUUUCAGAAAGCAAAAUGUACCAAUACACAGCCAACCUUUCUGAAUUUUCACAAGUUCCUAUACUACUUAUUCAAAUUUAGUUCUCCGAUACCAAAGGCUUUUACAAUCGCAUCUCUAUUAUAGAGCCACUGCAAUCUUUAUAUUUGUAAUUGGAAGUCUUUUUAAUGCAAUUCCCUUUCAUCAUACAUGGAUAUACCAACUGCUACCUACAGAACCUCAGUCAAAUUGCAGUUGAUCUUUGAAUAUUUCCUAAUAUCGAAGUAUAAUCAAGUGAUCAACUACUUUAAGUACUUCAAGAUACUCUUGUUCGCUUGUUUGGAGCAUCAAAAUGACCCUUUCAUUAGAUGGUAGAAGCAAGAUAGGAAUCACUUGAAGGCACCACAGACACAGGUUCAAAAACAGAAAAGCAAGAAGAAAAUUAUAAAAUAAAAAAUAAGAGUGGUGAGUGCACACAAAAAGUACAUGUUCCAUCUGAUAGCUGGUACCAAAAUCAGACAGGCUCUGAAUGAAGGCAUAUGAGGUUGAUAGAUAUCAUGUAAUCGUUAACUAAUGGUUUUCUUAAAAUCAAGGAUGGCCAUCCCAAUCUGUACCACCUGGUGCAAGUGAUAUGAGAAGAUUCGUUAGGAAACCGCAAUGCAGAUCACCUGUACUGAUCCACAAGCUUUAGUUCAUACAACUCAAACCUGCAUUAGCAUGGUCCUAAUGUUGAACUGAUCUAGCUUUAAAGUUAGGAUCCAAGGAGAUUGAGGGUUUAGAAUUCAGCGGUCUCCACCUUUCAGUGAACAUGACAAAAGAGUAGGGGAGAUUUGGCAUGCUAUCUCCUCACUCAAACAAACAGACAACAACAGGUUGUAAUGUACUUAAGGUUGCCUAUAUUGAUCUUCUUUCUAUCAUCGUUAUCUAUAUAAGGCAAUAUCUCUAGUUAAAUCAAGAACAUCCAAAUCUCCUAUUAUUUUUAGUGAAGUCUUCUUAGAUCCUCCUCUAUCUCUCUUCAUAACAUAAGUACUAAUUGACUCAUCUUACUUAACAACAUCAUCUAAAGGUUUCCUCUGAACUUGUCUAUGCCCGCUUAGACGAUUCUUUCUCAUGUUAUCCUUUGUCAAGGAGACAUCAAUUUGUUUAUAAAUGAAUAUAUAUUAUUAAAACUUUCCUAUAAUUCCCCACAGCAUUCUAAUUUAAAUUAUAUAAAUAUUUUUUACAUGUUUCUUAAAGCAUGACUAGCACAAUAACUAUUUUAUAAUUUUUUUAAUCUAAAAACAUCAUGUGAUCACAAAAAGCCUAUGAUGCCCUUCUCCACUUUAAGGACCCAACUUUAACUUUAUAAACAAUGUUUCCCCACUUUAGUUCAAUUUUUUUGGUGUUUCUUCUUAGAAUUCUUUUGUUUUAUUGAUACCAUUUGUUGUGACACCCAAUAUGGCAGGAUUACCUCAUUGAUAUGAUACAAAACAACAAUCCUUUUCGAAGCCACUUAUCUAUGAGUGACUCUGACCAAAAUAAAAGAAAACCUAAAGAGAAAAAAAAAGGGAAUCAAACUCUGAAAUCUCACACCAAAAGCCCCUUAAGAGAACCUACAUUUUGUGACAGUACAAUGUCCCCGGAGGUCUGGUUUAGUUGAUGUAACAUAACAAAUUUGACGAUAACUCAAAUCAAAAUCAUGUCAUCAUUGAACUCCACAUUGCAUCUCCCAUUUAACUCAUAAAUUGAAAUUGUAAAUUGAAGAAUUGUACAGUGUAUGGCCAAGUUGAUUUUUCCCUUUGGAUAAAAGAACAUAGUCACUUUCAAAAUUUGUGCCCAAAUAUAGUACAAGAUGCAAUCACUGCCCUAAGUUCUACAAUAGUUAAGAAAUUCCUUUUAAAGACUCAUCAUGUAAUAUGAUAUUGCCCAUAAUUUGCCAUAUUCUAUAAUUGAUUUCUGUGGAGGUCAUCAGGAAAUAUAUUCAAUACAACCAAUCCAAUCAUUCAAACCAAUUCCUAGUUUUGAUUGCUACUAACUUCUAACCAUUCUGAUCACUACUAACUAGUUUUGAUUGUCUAGUCAGUUACAAAAUAACCAAACCAAUUCCUCCUUAUUCUAGUUCAUUGAUUCUUUUGAGGGGAUCAUUAGGAACAACAUUCGAUCCCACCAAUCCAAUCAUUCAAACCAAACCAAUUCCUAACCAAUAUUGCGACUCCUAACUAGUUCAGAUGGUCUAAUUAGUUACAAACCAAACAAAUACAUUCUUCCUUGUUCUAAUUGAUUUUGUCAAUCUAAAUUUGAUUUUCAACAGAUUCCACUAGCCUAGCUAAUCUCAUCUACUUUCUGAUAUUUGCAAAAGACUCGUGGUCUGAUUCAGCCAAUCUUAAACCACACCUGAUCCUUAUCAGAUGAACCUCUGUUUCACCAUAACUUAAAAAGAAAAAAUCUCUUCUCAUAGUGAUAUCACACAAGUUUGUUUGUUUUUUUAUUUUUCUUAUUGAACAAUGGGUGGGGUAGUCACAUGUCCUUAUAAGUGUUAUGGCCAGACAUCUUACACCAUCUCAUUUACUUUAUGCUUCUGGUCAAGAAUUUAAAUCUCAGUAUAAUACCAAUUUCCAUAUUUUACCUGACCAAUAUGGUACUGGUAUACUGAGCAAUAUACAGACAUAUAUUCCCCAAUACCACAAUAAUGUUUAAAAAAAGAAUAAUUAGCACAGUAGCAUAUGGUCCAAUAUCGCCUAUACACGGUGUGCCAACUGGUAUCUGAAACCAUGCUCCUGGUAUUAUUCCUUAACUCUUGCAAGUUAAUACUUGCAAUCUAGUGUUCCAUGAAGUAAGGUCUUGUACAAGUUCCUCUUCCAACAAAUCAACCAGCAAUCAGCUAAGCACCAACUGGUAUCUGAAACCAUGCUCCUGGUAUUAUCCCUUAACUCUUGCAAGUUAAUACUUGCACUCUAGUGUUCCACGAAGUAAGGUCUUGUACAAGUUCCUCUUCCAACAAAUCAACUAGCGAUCAACUAAGCACCAACACCCAUGCCUCUCCGAGAUAUCCAUGUCUUUUAGUUAAGAAAGAAACUUCAAACUUUUACUCACCAAAUAUUUGUUUGGUAGCACAUGAUGCAGCAGCAUCAUCAAUUUCUACAAUUUGUUUGAAAGAUUCACUGCUCAUUCUCUAAUGUAACAAACCUAGUAUCUGAAGUUAUCAAUGCAACUACAACAUGACAAAAACAUCAUGAUAUCUUUCAUAGAUUAUCCAACAUACGAUAUACAUAUAUACUAGAUCCUAAGGCAAUAGCUAAAAGAAAAAUAUACAACACUUGCAGUAGGAGAUUGUAUGUCAAUUAUUAAAAUGAUAUAAACCCUAAAUCAACUGUGUCAAGGAAUUGAUUCAUGAAAUGCAUACAUUGGCAAAAGUCUCAUAAUGGAACACUCUCUUUUAUAGUUGACUAGUAAAACCAAAUAAAUUAAGGAAGAAUAAGACAAUUCCCUUCAGAGAAUAAAAACAUGUUUGUAUUUAAUGCAAAAAAAAAAAUCUAAAUAAGUACGAAGAAAGAUCUUCUAUUAAUUAGUUGUGAUAAAUUCAACAAAAAUCAGAUAUAACAUGCAAGCAUCAACAAAUAUUAUGUAGUCAGAACACAAAUACAACCGCCACUUAAGCGACAAUUCAAUGUGUAUAUUAAAAGAACACGAAAGAAACAAGGUAUCAGCCUUUCCAUUUACUAACUUACGUAUGUAGAUAUUACUUAGACAUGAACAAUACGUACCUGAGCAGGAAUCCUUCCAAACACUGCAUAAAGGAACUCGACAAAAUUAUCAGAUAUGGCAUGGCAGAGGACAAAGAGAGGGUUAUAUGUUCCACCAUUGGUCACCUUUCGAAGCUGUGAGAAGUAGUAGAGGUACACCAGGGCCAAAUAUCCUUUUAAUAGAACAGAAAUUGGGUCCAUUCCAGUCCCUAGAAUCAUGUAAAUCAAAUACCUAAUAACGGAUCCUGACAGCACCCACAUGAAGGAGAGGAAGGAGUCGGAGACAAUGAGCUUAACCCGAGACGCUUGGUUGCUGUGUUCCUUCUCUUCUUCUACAUCUGUUUCCUUUUUAUUUACAAACUCUUUCUGGUCAAGCAUUUAGUCUUUGGUCAUUCGAAAGAGCAAAAACCAUAAGAUAUAUAAUUUUCCAAGCAAAACUGAUCGCAAGGAGAAUGAUAGGCACUAUGGGAUCUCAAAAACUCUUCUUCCUUGUUCGCAAGAAUAGCUAAAUUGUGUCCAUGAUUGUUCCUGCAUCUACAGUAGGAGAGACAGAGAAGGGAGAGCGAAAGGUAUGGAGGGAUACAUACAGGAAGAAAAAGAGAGUGAGGAGAGGAAUAGAAAGAGGAGCGAUGGCAACGCAACGGCCUGUUUUUCGUGGUAGAACAGAGAGAGAGGAAAAGAGUAAGAUUGCAGCUUAUCGUGGUAGAACAGAGAAAGAAGAAGAAGGUAAGAGAAAUAGACAAACAAGAGAGAGGGAGGGACUCACUACAGGAAAGAUGGCCGCCGGCGACGAGGGAUGAAAGAGGGGGGGUGGAGGAUAAGGGAUCGUCCCCGGUUUCGUGGAAGUAGAAGACCCGCGGCGAUUUUGUCCGGGCGCGUAGCCCGUAUCCGAUGCAGACCGAACCCGACCCAAAGCAAACGACACGGACCGGACGUGUCAGGCUCACGUAUCUGCGGGUUUAACAUAUGAGCCGUCCGAAAUAUCGAAUUUAUCCCGGCGUGGACUCCGUCACAGCUUGGACCAAAGUCACUUAUGCUUCCGUAGGUAUAAUUCUGGGCGAAUUGGAGUAAAAUGAUUUAAAUUAGAGAUCAUACAACACCUCCGAUUAGUCCGACAUCGAUGAGUAUAUUAUAAUAAUUUUUAAUUUAAAUAUUUUAAUCAAUGGUUUAAAUCAAUUCAGAGUUAUAGACCAAUUAAUCCAUCCGAUCAUCCUAAAUAAAUGGUAUAAGGCUUUUUCGUUGAAUUAUCAUAUUAUUCUCGAGUAGAUUGAGUUGAUUUGAUUAAGAUUCGAGGGAUUAACAUUUUCUUUCACCCAAAUAAAAACACACAUGUGAAUUGGCAUAGUCCAGUGUAGGGUUUUCAUGGAGAUAACAGUCGUACAAAUAUCCUUUGUUUGACUUGAACACUCCUUAAACUGUUAUAUGAGCUGCUUAUCGUAUGGUACAUUGAUUUAAUCCUGUUUGCUCUUGUGUGAGGCUCUUAUCUUUUAUAACCAAUUCAUGACAUUUGUAAUAGGCCAAUUUCCUAUGUUUGGAUAAAUGAAGCUGAAUAUAAAAAAAUAUAUUGGCUCAAAACCACAUCAGUGUUACCAUAGAAGGUUUAUAAGACACUUGUAAAGAUUUUAGUUUUGUUUUAGAACUGAUUUAUUUGGAUAUUUUUACUAAAUUCAGCCUUAAAACAUUAAUUUUUAUAUCCUAUUUUUUGGCCAAUUAUAACAUUAAUUUUCAAAGUUUUGUGGCCCAAAAUCAUGUGAAUAUUAUCAACGAAGGUUUCAAGAAAAUUUACAGUAAUUUCCAAAUAUUCACCAAUUAUAACCUGAUUUUUAACAAAUACAUUUCACCGAAAAUACAUGAAUAUUAUAAAUAAAUAAAAGACUAAUGUUUCAAAAACUUUCAUUACUACCCCAUCCAAAAAUUGUAUAACUUAAAUCCCACUCUUAACAAAAAAGAAAAAGAAAAUUUUCCAUACACCUUGGAAAUGAAUUUUUAGGGCAUAAAUAACCAAUUUUCUAAUUUUAUGGCUCUUAAUUGGACAUUUUCACUACAUUCAGCCCUUAAAAGGCUAAAUUUGUGGCAAUUUCCUAACUUUGGUCAAUUAUAACCUGAAUUUGUAACCUUUUUGCCCAAAAGAACAUGAAUAUUAUUGUAGAAUAUAUUCUGAUAUGUUUGUGAUUUUUUUUUUUUCGGAGCUAAGUCACACUAUUUUGAAUUUGGUUAAUCUUUUUUUUAACUCAAAUUCAAAGACAAUGUAACUAAUAUCUUACUAUUUCAAAAAAAUAUAAUACUUUUAUGAUACCUUGAAAAUGACUUUUCAAGGCCUAAGCAACCAAUUUUUCAAUUUUUAUGACACUUAGCUGGGAAUUUUCACUUAAUUUUGUCCUUAAAAGUUUGAAUUUCAAUUGUUUUCAUGAAUAUAACCUAAGUUUACAAAGGCUUUUAUGAUUUUUUGUUGUCUAGAGUUGAGUUACACUAUUUUUUUUAACUAGGUUACCUAACUCCAUAAAAAAAAAAAAAAAAGUAACUUGGUUCAAACUAUUUCAAAAAAUUAUUUAAAAAAAUCAUGACACCUUGGAAAUGAAUUAUUAAGGGCUAAAUAAUAAAUAUUACAAUAUUUAUAGCCCUUGAUUAGACAUUUUCACUAAAUUUAAUCCUUAAAAAUAACUUGAUAAUUUUCCAUUUUUGGUCAAUGACAACCUACAUUUAUAAUUUUUUUGGCAUAAAAUUAUAUGAAUAUUAUGAGAGAAGGUUUCUAAAUAAUUUUGAUAAAAAUUAUUUUUUUCAAUAGUUGAGUUACACUAUUUUUUGUGUAGAAUUACACUUUUUUAAUAGGAUUAUAUAUUUAUCAAGCAAAUUUUCUAGUGUUGUGAUGAUGCCUACAAUUAUUGAUAGUAAUAAUUAAUUAUUUUUAAUUACACUUUAUGUGACCAAGAUUGAAACUAGGGUUUUGUAGGAGCAAUUCUUGCAUCAUUUAAAAAUAUGCAUUGUUGAUUGAAAAAUCUUAACCAUUUUUUUAUCAUAAUUAAGAAAUUAUUUCAGUUAGGAUGAUCUUCUCAAAAACAAAUCAUGGUGAUGUUAUUCAUUUUAACAAAAUUCUUCUUAUUAGUCUAUGAGAUACAUAUAGUAUAAAAUUAUUAAAGUUAUUACUAUAUGUUAAUUAAUUAUAGGUGCUAUGUAAUUUAAUCAUGUGAGUGAUGACAUAUGUGACAUAAUAUUCAAUUUUUUUACUUAUUAUUAUUAUUUUCUCAUUUUAUAUUAUCUAUUGGAUAUAUUAUGAUAUUCUUGGAUAUGUAUAAUUAAAAUUCGAUCAUGAUAAUGAGAUAAAUUCAUCUAUAAACACAUACCUUAAAUAUUCCUAGCCAUAGAUAAUUCGAGAUGGAUAUCGAGAUAGUCGAAUAAACUUAUGUACUAUAUACUCGUCUAUAUGAUAGAGAUAAUUGAUCUCAUAACUGCUUGUAUAGGAAUACUAAGGAUAUAAUACAUAUGCUUAUUGAAGAAUUAUGUGAAUUAAUAUAUUUUUGGUUUAUUUUCAAGUGUCAUAGGGUCAUCCUAUAUCAAAUUAUCUCAAACUUUCAUCAAUCUAUUAGGUUAUUAUUUUAACAUCAGUAAUAUUUUUUAAAAAAUAAUUUUAGGAUAAUUAAUCGUUAAAAUUUAGAUUUCUUUUGGUAAAAUUGAUUUUUUUUGCUCUCACUAAUUCAUGAACUUAAAUGAAUUCAUUGACUUCAAACAGAUUCAAAUAUUUUGUGAGAGCAAAACCGAUAUUUAUAAAAAUAAAUCUCAAUUAAAAAAUUAAGGCACCAUAUGAUAGAUAAUGAUUUUAGGAGAGUUCAUUCGGUAAAUCGCCAAGAACAAUUGACACACCAAUUUCUGAAGAUGAAGAAAAGGGGUGAAGAAAUGCUCUUUAGACGCUUCAUUGUUGAGAUGUAGACCGUCACAUAAGCAACACGGGAGCUCAAUUGGAAUUGACUCGCCGCAAACCCUCUCCUCACCCAUCAUGUCAUCUUUUGCGGCCCAUUGUCCAUUCGCACAGCCCAUUGUCACUGCAACCACCUUAUAAAAUGCAAGUCGCCUGCAACCCAAGAAUCCAUUGUCUUGUUCAUACCGAACGCUCCUAUUCUCUCUCCUCAAAUGGCAGGGAAGCACUUCCCCACAGGUGGCCUGAGAUCCACUUCCUUUCCCUUCUCCUCCUCCCUCGCCGUUACUUCCCUCUCCCUGCUCGCUCUCUUCCUCACCUUCUUCUUCUUCUUCCACAACAAUUCCUCUUCCUCUCGCUGCCUCUUGAUCUCCGACCCCCUCGACUCCCCGCUCCACCUCUCCAAGCGAAAUCCCAACCCUAGCUCUGAUGCCGGCCCUCCUCCCGAGUACUCCUUCGUCGCAUCCCUCGAGAAGUUCCUCACCACCCGCGCGCCCCCUUUCUCCUCCUCCUCCCCCGCCGAUGCUGCUGCAUCUCAGUCCGCCGUGCCUGACGAUGGUGAUGUUCCCACCGCCGCCGCCGCCAAGGCGCUCGACGACUCAAUGUGGAAGGAGGAGACGGAGAGGCUUUACGGCGAUCCCCUAGAUCCGUGGUCGGCGCCCUCCGUGGCCCGGGUCUACGUGUAUGACAUGCCCUCCAAAUUCACCUACGAUCUACUGUGGCUGUUCAGGAACACCUACAAGGAGACCGUGAACCUAACCUCCAACGGCAGUCCCGUGCAUCGCCUGAUCGAACAGGUAUUUUGACUGUCUUCUCUGUUUCCAAAUGGGUUGUUGAACUCUAGUCGAAGAAUGAGGGGAUUCUUUUGAAAAAUGAUAUAUGAUUCAGUGCAUUGAUUUAACGUUAUUGAGGAGUUGAAACCACUUGCAAAUCUAGUGCGUUGAGCUAAUGACAAUGAUUGGUUGGAACCACUUAGAUUCUACAUCAAUACUAGAAAAAAAAUAACAGUGAGAUGUUUGAAACUCCAUAUACUUUGUUGGGAAACCACAUUAUGUCAAAACAGUACUUGUCAGCUCCACAGAGGGGUCUUCAAUCCCAGAGUUGCAUCUCAUGAGGUCUGCUGUUUAGAAGUGAACUUAAAAUGACUGGAUUGAUAUUUGGGACAGCUUGCCAAUUCUAAAUUUAUAAUUUCUUAUGGUGAACCUUGACUGCUCUUGGAUGAACAUCAUAUGGGACCGUGAUGGUGCAUAAAAUUUAUAAUCAAUGCAUAAAAUGAGUCCACUUCGUUGAUGCUCUUGGUUGGUUGAAGCUCUUAUAAAGAGCAUGGAAUUUGUAAUUUCUUUUAAUUAAGUACUUAUUGUCAUUAGUUAUUUCUUAUCUGAUUAUCAAAACCAUUUCCUGAAAGCUAAAUUUGACCAAUUUGUUGAAUUUGUGAUUUCAUGGUGUCUAAUAAUGUUGUGUCAUUGUGUCAUCAUUUCUUUAUGAUAUUUGAGCAAAAAAUAACUCAGGAUUGGUAUCCUAGCACAUAACUAUAUUCUUAUAAUGCUUCCUUGUCAUUGUAGAAUCUGACUUUAGAAGCAAACUUUCUUUUUCAUUGUUUUUUGCAGCAUUCUAUUGAUUACUGGCUUUGGGCAGAUCUGAUUGCUCCAGAAUCUGAGAGGAUAUUGAAGAAUGUUAUUAGGGUUCAUAGACAGGAGGAGGCGGAACUUUUCUACAUUCCAUUUUUCACAACAAUUAGCUAUUUCUUACUUGAGAAGCAACAGUGCAAGGCACUUUACAGGGUCUGAUGAAUUAUCGAAAUAUUUAUUUUCGGAGCUGUUGUUUUGUCAUGUGAUUUUGGAUCAUGUCAAUUGUGGUACUUAAAUAACUGACAUUUAUGUUUUUAUACUUGCAGAAAAGAUAGAUAAGCUUAGGGCAGUGACUACUUACAACUGUCAACUUAUUUUUUCUCUAUACCGAAGAACACUAAGAGGUCAAACCUUAGUCAAGUUAUCUAUCUAUUAAUUUUAAAUUAUCUACUUUUGGCAGGAUGCCUCUGCAUAAGAAAAGCGAGGCAAGUAGAGAAAGUGAGACAAAAAGAGAAACAUUAUCUAACCAUAUGAUUUAGGAUGCAUAUAAUAAUUUAUUUACAUUUUUGGGGCAAAAAGCUAAUAUAGGAAAAUAACAAGCUAACUACAGUAUACCUAUGUGAACAUUUUUGGAUUGGAUCCUAUAUUGGGACACUACAAUAGCUGCUAAAAUCAAUGGCAAAAAUUCAUAAAUAUUGCUUGUUAGGUUUCCUCCCUUGUCUUAUUUUCUCAGUCUUAUUAUGAUAUUUGUUAGGAUUCUUUUGGAACUUCUCUUGAUAGAUUGAUUCUAGGAUGCUUUUGAUGGUCAAACCAUAGCUUAAUGAUAAGACCCUAAGGUCUUAUCGCGGAAGAAAUGAGAGAAAUGAGGAUGAUAAUGAUCACUUCGAGGGGAUCGGCCUCCUUGAUCGCUUCGAGGGGAUCGACCCUCCUUGAUCGCUUCGAGGGGAUCGGCCUCCUAGGGUUUGUCAAGAGACAGAAUGUUAUUUUUCAUAGAUCUGCACCGUUGCUGCAGCCCCCUUGCUCUGCAUCUUUGCCGCUGCCGCCGGUUGCCACUGCAGCCUCAACCCCGGCCGCUUCAACGCCACCUCCCUCUUGUUGGUUGCCAUCACCGCAGCCUCAACCUGGUUGCUCGGCGAUUGCUUCCUUGGGUCAUGGCAGUCACAACCGUUGCCUUUCAGCCUCGGCGCUCUCAUCUCACACAGUGACAAAAACACAGGGCAGCAACUCUUCCUCCAUCGCAGCCACCGCAGCAGCGAGUCCUUGCUGGCGCUGCCCCCAACCACACCACCAUCGUUGCCUCUCAGCCCUCAGCAGCAGCGAUCCCUCCACGCAGCGACUGCAACAAGCAUCGUUGCCUCUCACCAGCGCCUCCUUCCGCAGUGUGACAGAAACAGAGCAACGCUACCUUCCAUCCGCGCCGUCACAGCCAUCGCAGCGGUGAGCCCUUGGCGGUGCUGCCCUAGCCGCACCACCAUCGCUGCCUCCAAGCCCUCAACAACAACGAUCCCUCUACGCAGCGACCGCAACAAGCAUCACUGCCUCCCACGCGGCGACCGCAGCUACAUCCUCGCAUCCUCGCAGCAACCCUUCAUUCCCAUAGUGUUGCCACCGACUGCGUCAUAACAGUAGCACCGAAUAGGGCAGUGAUUGAUGCCCUUGACCAACACCAAAAAUAGGAGUUGAGAUUAUAGAUUUGCAGUCUUACGAAAUGGCCACCGAUAACUCAAUGAAAGCACAAAUGGAAGUAUUGGAAAUUAGAAUUGAGAACCGGUUACAAGAAGUACUUAAUGAUUUUAAAAAGGACAUACUGGGGAGCCUUAGUAAAUUUCAACAAGGUGGGAGCUCAAGUUCUACAUUGCACAGAUCUGGAAAUACUAGAAAAGGGCCCCAAGAUUGUGACACAAUCUACUCAGACAUGAAGGUGGAUGGACAACUCUCAAAAAUUUGUCAGACUUCUACAGUGUUGGAAUAUCAGAGUAGGUUUGAAAGAUUAUCAAAUCAAGCUAGAGAUUGGUCGGAACGAUAACUUUUGGAUACAUUUAUUGAAGGUCUUAUUCCAGAGAUUCAGUGUGAAGUUAAGGCUCGUCAACCCCACACUAUGAUAGCUGCGAUCUCAUUCGCACAUCUACAUGAGAAAAAAAUCAACAGGGAAAAUCAUGGAAACAGAAGUGACAACAACCGGAUGAUUAGUAAGCCACUGGCCCCAUCUAUUCCCAACCAAAGUCUUGACACCCGAAGACUAACCCAAGAAGAACUCAAUGAAAGAUUAGUAAAGAGUUUGUAUUAUGAUGAAAAAUGGAGAAGGAGGCAGGUUGGGCGGCGAGCGGCGUCGNNNNNNNNNNNNNNNNNNNNNNNNNNNNNNNNNNNNNNNNNNNNNNNNNNNNNNNNNNNNNNNNNNNNNNNNNNNNNNNNNNNNNNNNNNNNNNNNNNNNNNNNNNNNNNNNNNNNNNNNNNNNNNNNNNNNNNNNNNNNNNNNNNNNNCCGCUGCUGCCCAGCUAGCGACAACGCCGCUCGCCGCCCAGCCUGCCUCCUUCUCCACCGCCGCCGCUGCGCUCCGGCCAGCAACGACUGCUGCUGCCAGCCACCGCAGCCUUCACCUCAACCCCCUCGAAGUGAUCAAGGAGGGUCGUUCCCCUCGAAGUGAUCAAGGAGGGCCGAUCCCCUCGAAGCGAUCAAGGAGGCCGAUCCCCUCGAAGCGAUCAUUAUCAUCCCCAUUUCUCCCCUUUCUUCCACGAUAAGACUUUAGGGUCUUAUCACUUAACUGAAUCCUAUUUCCAUCUGGUAGUCAUGCUUGAAGUUUGUGCCAUUUGUUAAUCUACUCUGAUUUCAAGUAGCAAAUGGUCUUCAAGCCUAGUAAGAUUGUCAUAUAAGCUGGUCCAUUGCAUCGAGAAAGAUGCCCCAUCAUCCCAUGCUAUGUUAGCCACUGAUCUGGUAUCAGGGCCCUUAAAAUAGGGCAUACAAGACCAGCUAGAGUCAUUCCAAGUUCCAUUGCUGAUAGGCCAGAUAGCCUUUUUGUUUGGCCGCUCCUAUCAAGGGAUGUGAGGAGGAUAUGUCAGGAUAAUUGAGAACAAGGUCUAGCCUAGGUCUGUAUUUGUGUCUGCUGUCAAGCUCGGUAUGUGGUAAAAGCUGAAAAUUAAAUUUUUGUUUUUGUCGUAGCAUUGCCUAGACUGCUUAGAGGCUACAGAGGCUGAACCUUGACCUUCAAAAUCACUCGGUCAUGUAGUUCAAGGCCCGAACCGGUCCAUUAAAGCGUCUGGUGAAUCUGACCCGAGGUUCAAUUUUAAAAUGCAAAGACUACUCAUACUGAUCAUACAUCUUCUAACCUUUUUUACGAAUAAAACAAUAAUGCAACAUUUACUACCUAAAGGGUUUUGACAUAAGUUGUUUCAUUAGUUAAAUCUUUAUCUUCGAUUUCUGAUAGUUUACAUGCUGUAACUCACAAGGUAUUUAGAAGAAAGUAAGUGGUUUAGUCAUUGUUGAUUUAGAUGCUUGGUUGUACUUUCUGAGGCUUAUGUUAUUUGUUGACUGUGCAUCUUUGCUUGGUCCAUGUUUGUUUUGUACACUAUAUUCCAUUGUGUAACUACCCAGAGGGAUGCAAACAUGAGCAUGGAUAUAGAAGAACUGAACCAAGGGUUUAUCUUGUCAAAAACAAUCUUGAUUAUACAGUACCCUGACAUUUGAAGUUCUUUUUGCAUCUUGUUAUCCUGUAUUCUGAGACAAAUCUUAAUACUAUUCUUGGUUUGUGCCAUGCUGAGAUACCUUCCCACGUAACUUGCAAAGAUACAUAUCAUAGAUUGCUUGUAAAUUUUAUAAGAUAAUGACCUACUGUGCAAGCUUCUUAAGCAAAACAUUCAAACUUACAGAAAGAUAUUAUAUGCUAAAGAGCCUAUCUAGUGGUUGUCAUUUUGUAUUAUCAACUCUUAGGUAUAUGUAAAAAGAUAAAAAUGUGACCACCAACUUUGUCUAAUAUGAAGUGGCAUAGUUUAAUAUAGUGGUAAAAGUACUAAAUAUUAGUUUAGGUGUUGGUAUACUUCGGUAUGCUCUAGUAUAUUGCCCAUUGACACAGGAUCAGAUUGAUAUGAUGCAGUCGGUGUAAAUGUGAAUCCAUGUCCAUAAUUAAUUGAAUAAAAUUUAGAAACUAAUUUAGUAAUAUAUAUUUGAAACUAACUGUAUAUAUAAAACCUAUAAUUACUUAUCUAAAGUUCGACACCUGACUAGUACUCUAAAUUUAAUUAUUUAAGUGUACCAUAGAUGUAUUCAUAUUACAGAAAUGGACAAGUAAUAAGUGUUGACUUUCACUAAAGUUGCAAGAAAAAAUUUGUUUCAUCAAUGCUUGAAGUAGUUUUGUUGGGUACCAUGGAUCAAAUAUCUUAUUUUGCAGUUCUAUUUGAUAUCAGGAGGCUUUAAAGUGGGUGACUGACCAGGCUGCCUGGAAAAGAUCUGGAGGUAGAGAUCAUAUACUUCCAGUCCAUCACCCUUGGUCUUUCAAAUCUGUUCGCCGGUUCAUGAAAAAUGCAAUUUGGCUUCUACCAGAUAUGGACUCCACUGGAAACUGGUAAUAACAUCAUGUACUUUUUUUCCAGCAAUCUAUAGACCCUCUCAUAUGUGCCAUGCAGUAAUCUUGAAUUUGGAUCUAACUAUGGUAGGUAUAAACCAGGGCAAGUCUGGCUAGAAAAAGACCUUAUCCUUCCUUAUGUUCCCAAUGUUGAUUUUUGUAAUUCACAAUGCUUACAUGACGUGCAGUCAGAAAGAAAAACAUUGAUAUUCUUUCGUGGAAGGCUUAAGAGAAAUGCUGUAAGAUUUGCCUCCACUUUUCAUAAAAAUGAUGAUCUUCUUGACUAGUAUGUUACUUUCCUUUUGGGCAUGAAGCUAUUUGUCUUUGUAUGCUCAAACCAAGGGUGUAUUUCUUGUCCAGGGAGGUAAAAUUCGUAGUAAACUUGUGGAAGCAUUGCAUAACACUGAGGGUGUUAUUGUAGAAGAGGGAAGUGCUGGUGAAUCUGGGAAAGCUGCAGCUCAGAAUGGCAUGCGCAGGUAAUUUGUUUAUGAUAUUAGUUAUUUAUCCUUGUAGAACCUUGUAUUAUUACACCUAUCAACUUAUUUGUGUUGCAUUCAUGGUAGAUCUCUCUUUUGCCUCAGCCCUGCUGGGGAUACCCCAUCCUCUGCUAGGCUGUUUGACGCAAUAGUUAGUGGAUGUAUACCUGUUAUUGUCAGUGAUGAAUUAGAGCUUCCUUUUGAAGGAAUACUUGAUUAUCGGAAGGUAAUGCAUCUUUUGCACUUGUAUAUUUUAGCUUUGAAAGUUCCUUUAUGUUUUUCGGAUAACCAUUGGAUUGAAGACUUGAUACAGUAGUUGCUCAGUUAAAGUCAUUUCAUUUUACUUGGUAAGGCUGCCAUUACUCCACUAUGUGUGAUGGGAAGAAUUUUCUUGAAAGCAAAAUCCUGAAUGGGUACGGUCCUUUUGCCUCUAGGACUUGAAGUAUUUGCAUAGAGAUGGGUCAGCAUAAAUACAACUACUUGGUGAAUAUUCAGCCUUGAGUAGAUGUUCAAAUGUGGAACUAGAUAGGACUCCUAACCAAGGUUUGUUGUACUGCCUGAGUCGGUAUGGUACAAGCGAACUCGUUCAACUCGCCAUUGAGACACGCCUCGCCCAAGUCCCUAUUGGCACGUCCCAACGUACCAUGUGUCGAUGCACCGAUAUAGAUUGAUACAUAUCGUAUUGACAAAUCUCCAAGUCGGGUCUAGUCCCCGAAAUGGCAAAUCGUGCUCCUAACCUUAUGUUAGUAAGCCACCCUUUUGUUUUUGAUGAAUUUGGAUUUUUCUUUUCAUUACUCUCUUAUGAAGGAUGGACAUGGACACUAUGCAUAUAUGAUGAUGAUGACAGAAGUCUUAUAUAAGAAAUAUAUAACAUGACUGGAUGCAACAAUUAAUCAAUUUAGGCAAUUAUUACUGUUGCGUUAAUCAUAUGCAUAAAUAACAAAUACUCACUGAAAUACUUCAAACACAAAACAAUAAAGAGAAAGUCAAUAGUCUGGCUUAAUGUAUAAAACCAAUUAUUCAUCAUGACUUCAAGCCUUUAUAAAUGAUGUCUCUCUCAUGCUUCUUAUCAAGCACCUUCUUUCUUUGAGGGAAGGGCACCUCCAAGAAAGUAAAGCAGAAAGAACAAAGAGAAGACAAAUAGAAGGAAACAAUAAAGAUAGGAAAUUUAAUUACACAAUUUGUGAUGCAUCAAGGAUUUAUGAGAACUUAGUUAUAGCCUCUCAUCCUUACUCCAUCUUGUAUCCAACCAGUGCAGGAUAAAACUUGAGUUUAUAUUCUUACAAGUAUCCCAUGUCACCAGAAAUCCCUCUUGAUCAGCAAUUUAGAACUUGGAAUUCAGACUGUAAAAAAUAACUAGCAUAAUCUAUACUACUACACCUAUAUUAGGCCAUUUGCAGACUAAUUAAAUUUCGAAUAGGACACUAGAGGAUUUUCAAAUUUUUUCUAAAAAACAAUGACGAAAAUUUAAUUAUAUUUUAAAUUCAAAUAAGAUAAAGGCCUCUCAAAAUGUUCUCUAUAGUCUUGACUGGAUCCAGUUUAUAUAGUCAUGAUUUGGAUGUCAGACCCAACCAAGUGUUGUGGGGCCUAGUAAGGAUCGUCAUAAAUCCAAUUUGACUAUUAGGCCUUGAAUUUUGUAGAAUAUUUUGGACUGAGUAAGGAUUUUUCGGAUUGUUAGAAUUUUUCAUUUAUAACAAAUCUUCGUCCCUCAAGUACACCUUAUUUGUAAGAAGGCACUUAUGAAAUUUUCAACUUGUUUCUUAGAUAGAUGAUCAUCGAAAUGGUAUCUAUUUGGAUUUGGAAAAUUCUGCAUUAGAAAUCAGUCUUUUGUGAGGUCUUUCUGUUGCAAGUUUCACUAGGUUUAUAAAUCCAGAACUGUAGGUUUGAGAGACAACAUGUUGGAUUUUCUCUUGUUGAAUUGUGUGAUGUUGAUCUGUUGUAAGAACUUCUUGGUGUCUAAAAAAGACUCGACUGAAGUCGCCAAAAUUGGAGGUCAUUUGAUUGGGCAGCCAAUGCUGAACAGAAAAUCAAGUUUUUCUAUAAUAGAAUUAUACAGCAUGCUGACAUUUAUGUCAAUUUGUGCACAAUUUUUAAAAUUUUCUUGAACAUGUAGUCGGGAUAAAUUUAUGAGCAAAAGGUUGGGGGAGAGUACCCCAUCAAGUGGAGUCCAAGAUCAAACAUAAAUUUGACUGCUGCCAUUUGUUAGAUCACAUUUUUUCAAAUUGUAUAUAUUAAAUAAAUUAUCACCUCCAACCUUCGAAUGUGAUUGUCCAUGGUGGUUUGAGGAUGACUGUAGAACAAACUGACCUAGGUUUUGUGAGGAUUGCAUCUUUAAGGAAUUUUUGCCUCUCAAGUCUACUUGAUUGCCACACUACACUAGUAGGCCAGGAUGUUCUGACGAUACCGCAUCAUGAAAUUAUUAUUUUUCUUACAAUGUGAGGGAUGAAGAGAGAUGUUACAUACCACAAAUUGUAAAGACAAAAAAAUUUCGUUACUUUUAAUUAAAAGAUAUUGCUUCACCCCUAUAAAGGAAUAUUUGCUAGUGGUACUAAAUUGGAUUAAUAAUAAUUAGAAUCUUGUACUGCAAAUUGUAAGGACAAUUUACCCACCAUUUGUGCAGAGAAUAGGAUGCAUAGCCUAGUGUAGAUUUCAUUAACGAGGGUUGUUCAAGAUAUUGUAGUCCAUUUGAGACAUCAUUAGGAUAGGACUCCUCUUUGUCUACCACUUGACCGACCCCUUCUCGGGCUUAGGAUGGCCUUGGUGUAAGACCUAAGAGACCUGGUUAGCCCUAACUUUGAGUUUCAGGCAGCAAUUGAUUUGUUGAUUGUGUAGGAGCACAACUCAAUGUGAUAGUGGUGAUUAUUAAAGAGGCAUAGUUUUGAAGGACAAAGUCUUUGUUACUUAACUCAAGUUUUUUGGGCAUGGUUCACAUUACUAGUCCAUACCAGUGUACCAACCAACUAUCGUUACGGUACGUGUCGAUCUGUACCGAGCAUACUAACACAUGGUACAUUGGGAUGUACCGAUCUAUCACCCGUACCGAUCCUCUAUUGGACCGAUAUGUACUGCUUGUACGGAGCAAUAUGCUUCAGUACGUCAAACCUUGCUUUUGAGCAUGUGAAGAGAUAGAAUAUGUAGCUUUUAGUGCCCAAAGAUAUGAGUUGAGAUGUUGGAUUAGGUGUCAAAAGUUUAGGAUUUCAACUACCACCACAAUAGAUGAUGGGAUUCCACAACCAGUGGUCAUUGAUGCAUCAAAAAUUUAGGAUUUCAACUACCACCGAAUCUUGGAACUGCUCCCAUGAUAUAUUGUAUUAACAAGACACAUCACUGAUGCAUCAACAUGAUAACGAUUGUUGCCUCAUCGUCAUUAACAACAUGUGUCUGAGGAGCCUUGAGGAACUAUGAAUGUGGCAUAUAGGGCCAGGGAGGUUGGAGUGCACUGGAUCUUUUACUAGCACCAUUGACCUAUUGUUCUGUAUUCUAUAAACAAUCAAGCUCGAAAGAAAAUGACCAAUUAUCACCAUAUAUUUAUUGGUCAUAAGAUCCUCCAUAAUAUAAAGAUUGUGAAUAAGUGUGGAGUGUCGACAUCCCACGGUAUUCUUUCAUCUCUUGGCUUGUUUGUUUGAACAAAUUAAGCACUUUGGAUAGACUGAUAAUGUGGCGAAUCUACACCAAAUCUUCCUGCUACUUAUUUAGUCAAGGAGAUGAAAGCAUCCAUCACCUAUUCUUUGAUUUUACUUUCUCAUCACGUGUUUGGGCAGCCAUAUUGAGUAGAUGCAACCUACCCCACCCCCCUAUAGGGGUGGAACGUAGAAUUGGCAUGGGUAUGCAGUCAAUGAAACAACGAGAGUUUGAUAAGUCAAAUCGGAAAACUAUCCUUCACAUCUACAAUAUAUUAUAUCUAGGUUGAGAGGAACCGAAGAUUUAAGUCAAACGCCCAGAAACCUUUAGAUGUCAUUAUCUUUUCAAAUGUGCAAGACGUGAGCAAGAGAAUCCAGAAUGAAUCCACAACUAUGUAAGACGUGAGAGGAACCAAAGAUUUACGUCAAAUGCCCAAAGACCUCUAGAUGUCAUUAUCUCAGCAAUUGUGCAAGAUGUGAACAGGAGAAUCCAAAAUGAAUCCACAACUGUAGCAGACAUUGCUUCAAGUCGGGCUAUUGCUGCAAAUUGGAAUCUAUAUCCAAACUUUGCAACUGCUAAGUCUACAUGGCACCAUUGAACCCCCCCUCUUUGAGGGCAUUAUUGUCUUACAUAUCGAUGCAUCCCUUUCCACCUCCAUGGCUAGUUUGGGAUGUGUUUUUCGUGACCAUUUUGGGAGCUCCUUUUGUUCUAUAGCAGAAGGUAGAUUGAAGGUCCCAUUAUUCAACAUGAAUUAUAGGCUAUCCUCCUUAGCCUUUCUGAAGCUAGAAGAAGGCCAUUCCACUCGGUCCAUCUUUGGUCUGGUUCACAAGUCGUGGUGGAUAUCCUCAAUGGUCGUUAUAGUACGCUAUGGUGGUGCUGGAUUACUUUUGAGCAUAUUCAUAUUAUUCGAGAGUGCUUUGAAUUAUAGGCUAUCCUCCUUAGCCUUUCUGAAGCUAGAAGAAGGCCAUUCCACUCGGUCCAUCUUUGGUCCAGUUCACAAGUCGUGGUGGAUAUCCUCAAUGGUCGUUAUAGUACGCCAUGGUGGUGCUGGAUUACUUUUGAGCAUAUUCAUAUUAUUCGAGAGUGCUUUGAAUUUCUAGAAUUCUCCAUCCAUCGAGAAGCUAACAAGCCAAUCGACUUUGUCACUCACCUGUGUAAGUUCAAGGAGAAGAUCUUGUUGUCACUUUCAGAGUUCUUGGACGAAUUGCGAAGGCUGAUUGAAGCUGAUGCGCUAAAAAAGAGAAUACAUCAGAAUGACAUGAUUCUCAUGGGUCCCUUGCAUGUUUUGGCUGUCUCUAAAUAUGGGGUUGGCCUCCUUUGGGGGAUGUUUGUGAUGCUCUGUACACUUUUGGUGUGGUGGAGCUUGACCCUGCACAUUGUAACCAUCUUUAUUUUUUAAUACAACUUCUCUUGCAUUCUUGCCCCAAGAAAAAAGACAAUGAGAGAUUGAGAGGGAAUGAGAGAGAGAAAGAGAGGGUAGAGAGGGGCUUAUAGAAGCCCUAAAGAGGUCCUAAUGGGCAAUUCGAUCGUCUGGGGCUGGUACCAGUCGAAAUUCAAUCAUUACCUACUUAUACUAGUUAGUGAUGGUCGAAUUUCGACCAUAUCGAAUGGUAUGAAGGGUGUACCACCCAGAUAUGAUACUUUGGGUCAAAGCAGCCAGUUCGACCUUGUUUCAGGUAUCAGUGUUCGGGUGGCAUGAUACGAAAUUGUGUAUACUGUCAAUUUUGUACCAUGCUGCCUGGUAUUACAGAUGUUACCUGCAACCACAUAAAAUUGCAUUGGCAGUAUCAUUUCAGAUAACAAAUCCUAACUCACUUAUUUUAAAUAUUUCCUUGAACUAUCUCCAUUAAGUUUGGACCACCGAAGGGAAGGUUUCCAAUCUAACUUCAGUGCAACAUUUCUCUAGUGCCUUCAGAUUGAUAUUUUUCUACCACUAGAGAUAGAGAUUCCAUGGUUCUAUAAAGAUACUAGUCGGGCUACAGUAAGAGCCCCUAAAAUAUGUAUUCCCUUCCUUUGAAACAAGAUCUUAGAACUCCUAGAAUUUUAGUCUUAUCAGGAAAGUAACUACCCUUAUACUAAUAUCAGAACUUUUGAGAUUAAUUAGACUAGAAUAGGACUCUAGAGAACUUUCAAAGGUUGCCUCCAAAAUCAAUGACCAAAAUGAAAGAAUAAUUCUAAUCUGAAUAUGAUUGUGUUCUCUUUAGCACUCAAUCUGGUAAUUGGAUCCAGUCACCAAGAGACUUGGUUUGGGUGUUGUUUAAUAUAAUCUACUAUCUAGACAUUGAGCUCUCAUGGACACGCAACUGCUAUGGAGCCUAGUAGGGACUAAGACCAAUUUAAUUUGACUAUUUUGCCUUUGGCUUCCAUAGAGUAUUCUAAGCCCUCUAUGAGUUAUCAGGAUGUUAGAAUUUUUCAUCAUAGCAUUCUAUGUUACAUAUUUCAUUUUGGUUCUUUAUCUUUUUUCCAUUUUUCUGUUGGACUUCACUAUUUUGUAUAUUUUCUUAAACUAUAGAUGCUAGUAUUUCUGUCUCUGAUGUAAUUUAUAAAUGGUGUUCCUGACACUGAAGUUCUAUAUUUUGAUGUAUGCAGAUCGCGCUUUUUGUUUCUUCUAAAGAUGCUGUACAACAUGGAUGGCUUAUUAAGUUCCUUAAGAAUAUAGAUUCCAGGCAAAUCAAAGAAAUGCAGAUGGACAUUGCCAAGGUUCUUUUCUGUAUGACUAAACUAUUCUAUGUUAUUUUGUUCUGCUUGGACUCUGAAAAAGCUAGUAGCUUGAUAAAAUCAGGAUAAACUUUUUUCCCCACCUUAUCUAUGGUUGUCUUUUGUUGGACAUUUGCAGUACUCGAGGCACUUCUUAUAUUCAAGUCCAGCUCAGCCUCUUGGUGCAGAGGACAUGACGUGGAGAAUGGUUUGUUUUCCUUAAUAUGAAAUCGGUUGAUCUUGUGCUCACAAUAAUUAUUUCAGUCGUACUAAUAAUUUCUAGACGUCACUUUGUUCUGUUUAAUUUUGCUUGAUUGUCGUCAUCUUUUUAGGUCAGCAUUUAAGGGGGAAAAAGAAAAAAGAGAAUAAUAUAAAAGGAGGUGGAAUAAAUUGCAUUUGCUGAUUUCCGUACAUUCUAAUUCUUUUAUUUCCUCCAUUUGGAUACGACAGAUUGCUGGUAAAUUGGUGAACAUCAAGCUGCAGACAAGGCGGUCACAACGGACUGUGGAAGGUUCAAGAAAUUUGUGCACAUGUGAAUGCAAACCAGGAAAUAUCACUAGAGUAUUCUGAUUGCGUUUUCUUUCUUGUUCUGUGUUUUUUUUCUUUUUCAUAUCCUCUUAUGCUGAUUUGUUUACCCAUAUGAUAUAACAGCUGUAUAGAAAAAAAAAAAUAUAUAGUCCUAUGUUUCUUGUAACUGAGAAAAUCUUGCUUCCCAUGGUUUAUUUCUUAAAUGUGUUCCUCUUAGUGAUCCCACAUUCCCUCACAGACCCACUAUGCAUCACAAUAACGGUGUUGUUUUAUCCAUGCAAAUGAGUAUUCUGAUAUCCACCUGGACUGCUUCAUUCUUGCAGUCUGUUGUCACUCCAACAAGCAACUUUCUUUUUUUGUUCAGUAUAUGCAGAUUAAAUAUGGUUGUAGGGAAAAACCAAAUGUAAAUAUGAUAUAGAACAUAAAACCCAAGAAUGCACUAAAAUAGAAAUAUGGUAAGAGAGUCUGACCCUUGACUCCAAAUUUUGCCUGAUAUGUUUUCUGGUUGUUCCACUCUAAUCCUAGCCGACAAAAAUUACGCCAAUGUGCACCAACUUGCAGUGCACUGAGAUGCUUUAUUGAAUGUUCGUCUCCAGAUUUUACCCUAAUUAAUUUUCUUGUAUUUAUGUCUCUAGUGGCAUGAUGAUAUUUAUCCUUUUCUUUCUUUCUUUCUUGGAAAUUGUAAGUGGUGAUGAUGGGAACUGAUGCUUAAAUUUGUUUUUAACUUGCCAUCAAUAAUUAAGGCUUUUACCAGCUAGCUUAGUUGGCAGGUUCACAAAUUUGUUUGGAACCUUCAAUCUCUUGUGAGUUAUCGUCAUAAAAAAACAAUAUUUUAAAUAUAAAAAAAAUCAUUGAACGAGACUGAAUCUUCAUUCGUAAGUUAUAGUCGGACUUUCUUAGAUCCGCUGGACCAAACCCUGAGAUCCUCCUCACCAAAAUAAUUGACAGUUGGUAACGACUAAUCUCUGCAAAUAGCGAAUAAAGAAGAUAGGAUUGUUAGACACCACAAGGACAACCAUGGGGUGGGUCUCAGUGCUCACUCUAUAGGUCCUUAAAUGAAACACUCUUGCCAAGGUUAUGAUGGGAACCAGCCUCUUUCUUUCUUUUUGAGUGUAGUCUUGGACUAGUAUUUUGAUGCUACUGCAUCUGAAUAGACACGUACGUCCAUUGGGCUUUAGAAAGUAGCGUAAUAGAAAUUGUUCGUUACGAGUUGAUCUUGAAACACUCGAUGAUCAUCCAUAUAGGUGUUAUAAAUUGUUCAAAUUAAAAAGAAAAAAGAAUUUUUUUUCAAAAGAUUUAUUUGAAAAUAUAUUUUCUUUUAUAGUUAUUUUGGUAGUUAUUUUUCAAAUAUGAUGUCUUUUGAUAAAAUAUCUAUAAAUAGAUAUUUGAGGGUAAAUUAUUUAGACAUCUUUUUCAUAUUCUUCUUCUUUACUCUCCAAGUGAUUGAAUUAGAUAUUUUUUAAUUUCUCUUUGAAGAUUUUUUAUUGUUUGCUCAAUACAGAUCUUCUAAAGACUUGUCAUAUCCAUUAAAACUAUUUGCAUCAAACUCAUAGCAAUCUUAUUGAGAAGAGGGUGCAAAUAUUAUUUUUAGGAAAGUGUUUAUACAUGUAUCAAGCCUAAAUAUCUUUCCAAAAGUAUUCUUGAUCCUGUGUUUGUUAUUUGUUUCCAUAGUAUUUUUAUCCUCUUCUUUAUCGUAUUUUCCUAACAAUAGGCAUAUACAUAUAACUAAGGACUCGUUCAUUAAUUAAACCGGUGAAGUUAAACCUGCUCAAAGAACUCAAAAAGUGAUACUAAUCAAACCACAAUGAUCUUCUAACGGGUUAGUUGCACGAUCGCCUAUAAGGCUACAACUGAGAUGAACCUUAAAAUGCUCUAAGAUAUUUCAGAUACAUUAGUACAACUUCACAUUUGAUAUCAAAUCAAGCGUCCCUAGUUUGGUCAGACUGACUGACUUACUUACUAGUAGAUCCAUAGCUUCACGAAGAAUCGAUCAUAAGGCAGCCGAAUUGUGAGCUAAGGAGCAACUAGUAGAAUGAGGCAACAGGAAAUCUAAGAAAAUGAGACCCCAUCCCUCCUAGAAAGCACUAUGCAUCUCCAUGUGGUACCAUAGAAAGAAGAUUGUUUCUUGGAAGUAACAAAUAUAGAAGAUUGUUGUUCAGUAACAAAUAAAAAUGUAGUUUAGAUUUUGACUUCAAAAGUGGAUGAGCUAAAAUAUAGAGUAAAAUUAUAAUCUUCAUCAUCGUAUAUUUAACAUACUAUUAUUAUUUAUAUCAUAUUAUAACUUGAAAUUUAAGAUGCUAUGCUUCUUUUCAAAAUAUCAAUUCGUUAGUGGAUGAUGUUACUGGGAGGGACUCUUUUGAUUAUAAACUUAAAUAAUCUUGUCGAACUUGAUUUACCAAAUUUACUUUUGGUAUUUCACUUUGAGUGAUUAUGAAAUUACGACUACACAGAUAUUAUAUAUCAUAUAAGUUGGUGAAGCACAAGAAAAUAUUUAUAGUUUAUAAGUGGGAAUGUUAAACUUAUUAUUACCGAAUGGGCCAACGAUGUGUUGCAAAUGUCACCAACGAGACACAUCAUCAUAUUAUUAGUGCAUGAAGAUAGAUAGAUAGUAAACAGACACCCAACUCAAACAUAGAUGCCAGUAACAGACAUUGGCAUCCUUAUUCAUCAUGGCACACAGAGAUAGAUAGAUAGUCAACACCCUCCACAAGGGUUGGCUAAGCCAGCAUCACGUAGACUCCAAAUGCAGUGAGAUACUCUGUAGUUGCAUGUCCGAAAAAGCCCUUAAUCUCGUCAUAUUCUACAUUGACUUGGAAAAAGGUUCCACCCCCACCUCCAUAUGGACCAUAUGUCUUUCCAAGACUGGUGGUAAACGUGAGUUGAGAUACACAAGGGAAUUCAGAACAGUCGUGCUUGACAUAACCNNNNNNNNNNNNNNNNNNNNNNNNNNNNNNNNNNNNNNUAGACUCCAAAUGCAGUGAGAUACUCGGUAGUUGCAUGUCCAAAAAAGCCCUUAAUCUCGUCAUAUUCUACAUUGACUUCGAAAAAGGUUCCACCCCCACCUCCAUAUGGACCGUAUGUCUUUCCAAGAUUGGUGGUAAACGUGAGUUGAGAUACACAAGGGAAUUCAGAACAGUCGUGCUUGACAUAACCAGAAACGGAGGUGAGGUAUUCAUCCGGCAUGAGAGUAAACUGCGAGGCAAUUGGAGCAAUGAUACAUUUAGUGAUUUAUAUAUGUUGUAAAUAGUGCGUUUGAUAGCAGGUAUUAUUAGUACGAGGGGAAGGCAAAAGAAUAGAAUAGACGAAUGGAGGUUGGAGAGGCAUGCCUGGAAUAGUUCACCGCCGGGGCCUCCAUAUCUGGGAGUUACGCGAGUGGUUCCGUCGAUGUCGAAGGUUAUCUUAAUGGAGUUUACGCACGAAGAAGCGCCGACGCUGAUGGCCGUGAUUUUGUCAGCAGGUUCCAUGCUCCAACGAGACUCGUUGUCGCAUGGACAUUUGGGGACGCCCCCUCGGGCAUGCGCGGCCGUCUUGAUAUGGUUUGAAGCCUGCACCACCAUGCAUCAUCCAUCACAAACCACAUAGAGUAGAAUAGAAACUGCAGUACUACAUAGAUAGAUAGGCCUCCCUCUAAGGGAAGCAAAGCUAUAUUCUUUCGGUGGAGGCAGAGUAUCUAUAUAGCGUCUCUCUCACUCACCAUUAGCGAGCUUAUGAAGCAAUUCCUCUCACGGCAGAUGAUAUGCAAACACAAACACAAACACUCGAUGGGGAGAGAGAGGAUGGAUGGGGGGGUAUUUAUAGAACCAAAAGAGGUGCAUGAAGUUGGAACCAUGCUGUAUGAAUGGGACUCGUAACAAUACAGAAAGAACCAGCACCGGUACCGCUGUUUUCUUCUUUUAAGUCAAUGUUUUACUUAAACCAAGUGGAUUGAGUUCUUUGCUGUUUUCUUCUUUUUAGUUAGGUUUAUGUGUGGAUAACAUCAUCGAUAACCUAAAAAUUGAAGCAUUGGAUUCAUAAUGACUAUUUAUAGAUGAAUACUAGUUUGGUCUGUUGGAUUACUUAAAAUAUGACUUCCAAGUCCAUCUCAAUCCAAAGUCAAUAAUAAUAGUAGUUUUAUCACUCCGUGCUGAUCCUCGUUUAUAAUAAUACGAAUGGCUUGCAUCAAUUAUUUAUGCGAAUGAUCCUUCUUUUCUUUAUGUGUAUUACAUUGAUAGUAGAUAAGAUUCCAAGGAAAUCUCUUUAUUCUGUUGAGGGAAAUCCUCUAUUAUAUUGAGGGAAAUCUUUCUCAUAAUCGUAUAAAUAGGAAAGGGACAUGGUAAUACAUUUAAGUUUCUUCACUUUUUCAAUAAAGCUUUUUCAAUAAUUUUUCUUAUCUUUUAUUUUUUUCAACAUACAUUACAUCAAGCCGUCUCUCUCUUCUUUCUUUGAUCAUUUUCCACUGCAUGCGUAAAUUAAGGAUGUGUCGGUAUGGAAUAAUGUUUUUGUAGUGACACUAACUAAAUAGGUUACGUUAAUUCUUUAGACCUUUCAUCGAGCAGCUUUUGGCAUAUGUCUGUCUAUGGCCAUCUGAAUCAUUUCUCGCUGUUUGUGUAGUUGACCACUGAGGAGCGGUAAUGCUGAGUUAGGAGUCAGACUUGAGAUCUGAUCGAAAGUCAAAAUAGUAGCAAUGACACGUUCUUUUUUAACAGUGAUACAAAUGCUAUUACGACAAAAUCAAAGCUAUUCUCUCUUUGAACUCCAACAGUGGUUUUCCAUGAUUUUGAAGCAUCAAUCUCCACUUAUACCACACACUGGAGUGAGAGAGAAGGGGAGAGAGGCACUAAUAUAUAAGAACCAAUGUGGAUUUCCUCAUGCAUUCAAGCUGAUGAACAGAAGACUCCUUGGAGUCUUUUACUAUUUUAUUUUUAUUAAAGAACUAGUAAGAAUAAUAAUCUUCUAGUCUUUCAUUAUGCAUUUAUGUUUGUCACCCACACCUUUGGGCUUCGGUCAUAUUUAAUUAAAAGACCAGAAAAGCAAUAUUAUGUGUUUAAUCUUCCAAGUAAAAUUUGAUAUGGUAGAGAUCAAAAUUUUGAGCUCUUCAAUAGUACAAGUAUCAUUUAACAACUUAAUCAAUUAUUAUAAAUUAAAUUUUAGUAAUAAGUGUCAUUUUAACAUAUCUUAGAUGAUACCCAUUCGAACUUGGGCUCAUCUAGCUCAUUUUUUAUUUGAACUAGGUGACAUAUUAUAGAUAAUAUAUUCUCAAUGAUAUAAUGACAAAUAAUACUCACACAGUUUGUCUUAAUUUUAUAUAUAUAUAUAUAUAUAUAUAUAUAUAUAUAUAUAUAGUUCAUCUUUCUAGAUUUGACUGCACAUCCCUCCAAGGUUUUUGUUAAGCCUCAAUGAACACUCUCUUUUGUUCCUUUGAACCAAAGUGAAACUAAUUUCAUUCAUUAAAUUUUUAUGGUUUGAAAAAAUAUUCAAUGACAUUUUAUUUGAAUCUAUAAUCCCCUUUAUUUAAUCUAUAAUCCUCUCAGAUCAUUUAUAUCACUUUAUUAACAAUGAGGAUAUUGAUAUCAAUAUAAUAUUCAAUGGAACCAACAAUAAUACAUAAAUCCAAAAUAUUUAAUGUAGGAUUACCUGAUUUGACACUCAAAUUCUUCAUCAUAUGAUAAAAUAAUAAAAUUCAGAAAUCAAAUUCUCUUUCGAUUUAAUCUAAAUCUAAGCUUAGAGUCUAUUAUAUUUCCUCUCGCGUUAACAUAAGAAACUUUCUCUCAAUCUCUUCAAUGUACUAGAGAAAAUUGUAGGAUCACAGCGUCUUUGUCUUCACUACUAAAGUAUUGACAUAGGAUAAUUAAAUUUUCAAGAAUUUUUAUCUUCACUCUUGAAAUUUUUUUAUUUAUUUUCGGAAUGAUUUGGUUCUCCAAAUAAUUUUAUUUCAAUUAGGCGAUCUAAAAAGAACUUACCAACUCCAAAAUAAGGAUCUAAAAUACUAACAAACUCUAACAUUAGGUACCCAAAUCUAUACACGUAUCUAUGCAAAAUAAAAUUUUAACAGCAUGCUUGUAGACACGUUCUAGUUCAAAGAUGAUGUGAUUAUUACAAGUGUGUUAAAUUUUAUUUUUUGCAAUGGAGUUCUUAUAGGAACAAGUGGGAUUUUUAAGCCAACAUUUUUCUUCUAAUAAAUUGAGGGAACAUGUGACAAAAUAAAGUCUACAGACACUAUACUAGAAGUACGUAAAAGUAAUAUAUCUUCUACUCCCACUCCCUUUGGUGCAAUCACCAAAGCAGCCCCUCAGUCCGGAACCACUCAGAUAUAGAGAGCCAAGGUGGACAAUGGAGUUCAUCUCACCUGUUGCUUCUCAUUAUGGGGAGUCAAACUGGCCGCAGAGAAGACAGGACAACAUCUUGCAGAGAGCUAUUUCUAUGCAUUGCUGCUUUGAACUCAUCAAAGGUGACCUUCCCGUCACUGUUAGCAUCCAUCUGAUCGAAGAUUUCAUCUAGUUUCCCUGGUUCAGUAAUAUCAGCAGGGAGACAAUCCUCAGGCAAGGCCUGCAGAAGUAAACCGUUUCCUUUUAGAUCAUUGGAAAUUGUUUCAUGGGAUUGAGGAGGAGACUUUAGUUGGUAGUGUUACUCUAAGCAUUGACGCCAAUUCUUCCUUGCUGAUGUAUCCCGACCUGUCAGUGUCAUACAUCUGCGGCAGCAGCACACAAAUAUAUCUUAUUAACGUUAAGAAAGAAUAGACCAAACAUAACACAGAUGUAUACCACCAGACACUCCCGUGUCAAUGUAGAAGUGUCUCAUGUUAUGUAUAACUCAAUGAUUUGAUUGCAAAUUAAGUUCCAAGAGAAGAAUAUUGUGUCUGCUAAUCCUACACAGUUUCCAUUUGUGAAUUAUAUAUAUAUAUAUAUAUAUAUAUAUAUAUAUAUAUAUAUAUAUAUAUAUAUAUAUAUAUAUAUAUAUAUAUAUAUAUAUAUAUAUAUAUAUAAAAUUUCCCCUCCCCUCUCUCUCCCCCCAUUUAAUUUUAAAAACAAGAAAAAAAAAAAAAAAAAAANNNNNNNNNNNNNNNNNNNNNNNNNNNNNNNNNNNNNNNNNNNNNNNNNNNNNNNNNNNNNNNNNNNNNNNNNNNNNNNNNNNNNNNNNNNNNNNNNNNNNNNNNNNNNNNNNNNNNNNNNNNNNNNNNNNNNNNNNNNNNNNNNNNNNNNNNNNNNNNNNNNNNNNNNNNNNNNNNNNNNNNNNNNNNNNNNNNNNNNNNNNNNNNNNNNNNNNNNNNNNNNNNNNNNNNNNNNNNNNNNNNNNNNNNNNNNNNNNNNNNNNNNNNNNNNNNNNNNNNNNNNNNNNNNNNNNNNNNNNNNNNNNNNNNNNNNNNNNNNNNNNNNNNNNNNNNNNNNNNNNNNNNNNNNNNNNNNNNNNNNNNNNNNNNNNNNNNNNNNNNNNNNNNNNNNNNNNNNNNNNNNNNNNNNNNNNNNNNNNNNNNNNNNNNNNNNNNNNNNNNNNNNNNNNNNNNNNNNNNNNNNNNNNNNNNNNNNNNNNNNNNNNNNNNNNNNNNNNNNNNNNNNNNNNNNNNNNNNNNNNNNNNNNNNNNNNNNNNNNNNNNNNNNNNNNNNNNNNNNNNNNNNNNNNNNNNNNNNNNNNNNNNNNNNNNNNNNNNNAUAUAUAUAUAAUUUCACUUCUCCUUUCUCUUCCUCCAUUUAAAUUUUAAUACAAGGAAAAAAAAAAGAAAAGAAAACUGUACCCAGCUCCACUUGCUACUAAAUACAUAAAUUUGAAUCAAAUCACAUAAACUAGUAUGCUAUAAAGGAUUUAUGCAGUCAGUCUUUACGAAGUUUCCAAACUUAUUAUUGUCGAUGGAAGAGAAGGAUCUGAAUGCUGUUGCUAGUCAGGCCUGCAUGUCCAUGUAUGUAUAUCUUGAUUGCAUAAUCGUUAUAACAGUGAGGUUUGCUAAUGUAUUACCUCUUUCAUUUUUUAUAUGUAGUCAUGAUACUCAAGAUGCUCAUGAGUUGGAGAAUAUUCUAUGAUCAAGAAAAUUCUAGGAUAUGUUUUCCCUGUGGACAUAAGCUGUGAAGUCAAAACCACGUUUUCUCUCUCCCUGUUUGUUCAUUGUUUCAUGACUAGUAAACUAGCUUGUUACCUGAAAGCAGAGUCGGAGAGCUUCUUCUCCUCGUGAGUUCCUGAGACUGGAUAGCCCGCAAAGGAUCUCUCUCAUGUCAACAUUUCCAUCACGGUUGUUGUCAAACAGAUCAAACACUCGAGAAGCUAGAGGGAUUAGUGAAUCCAUCUUUAGAGCCUUCAGGACUUCCUCAAACUCUGACAGAGUAGCGUUCUCUCCAUUUGCACAUCUGCAUCCACAACACCUACUUUUACGUUUUGAACUCCAAUGAAUUAAAGAUCAUACAUAGUUCUCUAAGCAUUUCAGAUUUUUCAGCUAUCAUGCCAUGAUAAAUAGAUCUUAGCUAUUCAUACAAUAAUUUACCAAGAUAUGAUAACUUAUCAACAAUGUCAGAAUUAUAGAUCAUAGUUCUCUAUGCACUUCAGAAUUUUCAGCUAUCAUGCCAUGAUAAAUAGAUUGUCUUCGGCUACUAUUCAUACUAUAAUUUACCAAGGCAUGGGAACUUAUCAACAAUUUCAAGUACUACAUCAAAUACAAAUGACUACGUAUGCAGGAAAAAGAAAACAGAGAGAGUUACAUCAGAUAGUGCCAUAAAAUUGCUAUUUUGAGAAUUCACAUGAAUAACACAAUAUAACAGUAGCACAACGUAUCAUUGUUCUAAUAGAAAAAAGCAUAUGAAACUAAACAAUGUUAGCUGAUCUUAUGCAAAUCAAUUGCAAGUUUAUUAGACUUAUAGAGAACAUAGGAGGGAAAAGAAAUCUUGUAUGAGCAUGAAAGAUUGAUUUCACUAUAUCUGAUCUUAAUAAUGAAAUGAGCUCUUGAGUGACCUAUUGUAAUUUUCCAGUGCCCUUACCAGAACAUACAUGCCAGAUAUUCUCAUUAGUGAUUUAAGGUUGGAUAUAUUAUCAAUUUAUUCAAUAUUGCUUGGUCACCGCUGCAGCAUCUGAACAUGAUCGUUAAAAUGAUUCGUAAGGGUAGUUUCAAAAGCUCAUUUAAAAAAAAAAAACUAUCAACCAUAUCAGAUAUCGAAAGAAUUACAUUCUCUUGAAGUGUAAACGUAGAUUUUCAAUUUCCUCAGUGGUGAGAUCAUUUGAUCCUAGCAGGCUCUUCAGCCUCUUUGUUCGUAGAGCAACCUUACUACUUAAUACGCUUGCUAUUGCAGCUGCACGCAAUUUCCGCCGAGCAUUAAAUCUCUGCAGUUUAGUGACAACCUCUGAAUCCAUGAGCUCCUCCUUAGCAGAAUCCCCUAUGACCCAUGGAUGCUUCAGAAGCUGUUUACAUAUCAGAUCAAUGAGACUGAAUAAACAGACGAUAUAGAAAAAGUUAUAUGACAUCACCAUAGUUCAAUAUAGUCACAAAAAAAUAAUGCAUAUGGACAUUAAUCAUACAUCACUAGCAGUGGGUCUCUUAUAAGUCUCCACGGAUAACAGUCUAGAAAUCAAAUCCUUCGCUGAAAAGGAUAUGGUCUUCCAUGUAGGAUCCUCAAAGUUGAAGUCACCCUGGAUAUAGAACAUUUAUGUUGAUCGUUAAAAUUAUAAAAAAAAUUCAUAAGUUUGGCAUGAAGAGAAAAAAAAUAUGAUGCGGAUUGUUGGGAGGGAGAGAAGAAUUGGAAACCAAAAGAGAAUCUCAGUGAUCAAUAAUCAAAGGAAUACAUCAAAAAGUCAAUGUAAGAUUAACAUGAUUUGACACUCUUUAUCUGUAUCCAUGCAGAAAAUCAAAUUCUUCAUUAUAUGAAAAAAUCAGGAAUCACUCUUCCAGAGCUAACCCGAACCAAAGCCCGAAACUCUUGUAUAUCCUCUCAUAUAAACCCGAAGAAUUCUUCGCUCAACUCUCUCUAGAUCCACUAGAGAAUAUCUUAAGAGCACCCAAAAUAUUUUCAUCUAUGCCUCUCCCUUUUACUAAAAUCAUGAAAUGUGUGGUGUAUUUAUAAAAACAAAUCCUAAUUCACUAAGAAAUACUCUUUCUACUUGGAUCUCCAAUCUCAAUCUACCAAGGACUUUAAAUCUAAUUAGGACUGGUCCAAAUAUCAAAGUGGUUUCAGCAUAAUUACUAUUUUUAAAAUACUUCAAAUCCUAGCCAUCUCUAUGUUAACGAGAAUCUUCCUACUUUGUGUCUCCUAUACAAAAUCUAUAAACUAUUGGCUUAAAGAAUUUACCGCAGCUACGCAGAUGAAUCAAUUCAUGGCUCAACAUUUGAUUAUAAUAAACUCGCCAAUAUACCAUGUGUAACUAAAACUAAAUCAAUGACACUACUUAUUCGGGAGAGAUCUUCAUCUCUCCGUCUCACCACCAAUUCGACUUUUCCCCUUACAUUGUCCAUCACCCUUUGUUUUCUUUAUCGCGAACAAGACUUGCUAUUGCAGGUACCUACCAUCCCUACACGUGCAACAUGUGUCCAGCCCUUUGAGAUCUUUACUAUGCUUCAUCCAUAUGGUAUAAUUCUUGAUGCAAUCUUCAUUCAUUAGGCCUAUAUAACCCCAAGAAAUUUUUAAAACUCCACCUCUAACCCUGUAGCCAUAAUCCUUGGAAACCAAAAGACUUAAAAAAUUUGUAUCUUUGGAACAUAAGCCACAUCCUCUAAAGUAUGUUGUGUUCCCUCAAAUAUUUUGAUAUUUACCUUACCAACAUGUAUGACAUCCAUCAUUGAAUCAUCACUUAGAUUCAACUUGCUAGUCAACUUGUUAUUUAGUGAACCAAAACAAUCUUUUGAGAACAAAUACGAUUAACACAAGUAAAAUUUAAAUGUCAACUCUUCUAGAAAAAUGCAUUAUUACCUUUGGAGAGUAUGAGGACAUCUCUAUCACCGUCCAUCAUAAGAAGGCACUCAUCAGGCUCUUCUUCCCUUUCUUUUAACAAGUUACUUCAUAUGUCCAUAAUAGCAUUGAACAUCAUCCAAAAACCUAACUUUUGAUCUUGAUUUGUCAUCCUGAGAUCAACUCUUAUCGAAAAAUCAUCCUAAUUGAUAUCCACCCUAAGUAGCUAACGCCUCAUUAUCAAUGUUCUUAUAUUUAUCAUUUUUCCUUGCAACAUGAGAUACUAAAGCUUUUUCAACUUGUUUCAGAGUUAUUGUAUCUUUUUCACAUAAUAUCUAUCUCUACAAAAUUGUCAUAAAAGUUGAUGAGUGAUGCAAGAAGUAACGUCUUAUCUUCUUCAUUAGUCUUCACAUCAACUUUAUUUAGUUUAUCUAAAAUUUCUUUGAAUAUAUUUAGAUGUUUUAUCAAGUCUUUGCCUUCCUCGAUUCUCAACUAUAACUUCUAGUUUAGAUAUAACUUGUUAGUCAAACUUUUAGUCAAAUAAAGCUUUUUCGUGAUGACGAAAUCGUCAUCAAUUAUAUUAUUGAUAGUAUUAUCAAUGAUGCAAAGACGAAUAAUGGUUACACACUUUGCCUGAAGCUUCUCUCAGUAUCUCAAUAUUUAUCACUCAUUUUUUCUGGUUUGGUUGAUUGUCCUAGGCCUUGUAGUUUAAGAAGACCCUCUUCUUUGCCACAGAGUGAAACUAUUUCUUUCAUCAAAUUUCUCCAUAGUAAAGUCCACAGAAAUAACUGACAAUAUCCUUAUUAAUUUUCUAAUUAUGGAUAUUUUAAGCUUUGAUACCAUUUUGUUAGGGAGAGAGAAGAACUCAAAACUAAAAGAGAAACCCGAAAGAUCAACCAAAGAAUAUACUAAAAAAUGGCAUAAGAUUAACGUGGUUUGACACUCCCUACCUAAAUGUAUGUAAAAAAUUAAAUUCUUCAAUAUAUGAGAAAACUAAUAUGAGGAAUCACUCUCUCAUAAGUCAACUCAAACCCGAGCCUGAAACCGUUAUAUACACUUUCACAUAAACCCGAAGAACUUUUUUCUCACCUCUUUCUAGAUUCAAUAGAGAAUGUACUCAGGAAAACCCAAAAUGUCUUCCUCUAUAACUUUUCCUCUCAUAAAAAUCAUGAAAUAAAUAGUGUAUUUAUAGAAACAAGUCCUCAUUCACUAAGGACUUCUCAUUUUACUUGGAUCACUAAUCCAAAUCCUAAUACACUAAGAAAUUGAAUCUAAUUAAGAUUCCUUGCUAGUUCUAACACACAUCAUUAAUUAUACAUCAAACCAUUUAUAGGGAUAUUGUGCAAUACCACCAUGUUAAAUGUCAAUCUUCCUUCCUUUGGUCCAUCCUUGAAAUGUCUCUCCAAGCCUCCAAGGAUCUUGCUUUUGAGUUCUAAUAGCUAUUUAUCCUAAUAGCAUCGUAUUCCUUCUCUAUGCUUUGUGGACAAGUGGAAUUGCCUUCGGCCACGUGAUGAUUAUUGUUGACAAGAACAUGGAGGAGCAGAACAUGGAUCUCCGAUCACCAUUGCAAAUUAAAAAGUAGCAUCUCUAUAAGAUUCAAGGGAGUGUUAGGUUCAAAGUUGCGGGGUUGCUAUGCUUAAAAAUCAACAUUGUAAAGCAAGAAGGUACAUCUCUCCAAGGAGGAAGUGGCCGACUCUCUAGGCACACCUCAGACAAAUGGAGAUUUUCUUAAUCUAUGAUUUAUCUUACUAGUGUUAGUUAGAAACAAGAUUUUAAAAAGCAAGAAAUCUAUGGAAUCCAUCCAAGAAGGAAAUUGCUGACCCUUUAGGCACACCUUAAAUCGACAAAGAUUUUCUUAAUAUGUGACUUCUCUGACUAAUGAGUACAAUUAGUUAGAACCAAGGUUUGACAAAGUAAGAAGUUUAUGAAAUCUCUCCAAGGAGCAAGUGGCUGACUCUCUAGUCACACCUUAGACAGACAUAUAUUUUCUUAAUCUAUGAUUUAUUUCACUAAUGAUUACUAUUAAUUGGAGCCAAGGUUUGAUAUAUCGCUUGAAAUAGGACAAAUUGGGAGACUUAUACCAAUCAAUUAGUUGACCAAUACGCUCAAAUAUGGCCUGAUAUCGGCUGGCACGAGAUAUAUAUCGAUUGAUCUGGUAAAAUUUAUCUAGUAUAUUGAAAUUUGACCCAUACCAACCAAAAUCGGGUCUAUUUUGACCCCCAACGGUCAAAUUGACCAUUGGGAUCUCUUUCGGGGCUUUAAAUCUCCCUCCCUCCCCCCUCUUUUACUUACUUUCUCUCACUCUUAUUGACCCUCUCAAUCUCACUCUUUUUCCCACUUUUUCUUACACUUUUGUAAUUAAAGUUCCUAAGCAAUUGAUUCAACAUCAACGAAAGCAACUUCCUACAGCAGAGACCUGUCUACUUUAUUUAAGUAUUAUUUAUAUUAUGGAUGAAUCCUUAAAAAUAUUUUUUUUAUUUUUUAGUUAGUUUUGACUUUUUUCCUAAUAAUUCGGUAUGCAUCGAUAAUACCAACACACAGUAUGUCGGUAGCUACCUGUACAUACUAGUUUGAUCAAGGGGAUUGAUACCACCAAUCAGCAUGACAAUCCUUGGUUGGAACCACUAUGGUGUUAGACAUAAGGCUAUAAGAAAAUAUAUUGUAGCACAUACAUUUUCUCUCUUUUUUCUUUCUUUUUUUCUUCUUCUCCCUUCUCACCCUCUCUUCUGCUUCCAUGAGAGAUCCUCUCUCUGUUUCUUUUUUUUUUCUUCUCUCUUUUCUUUCUGCCUUCUCUUCUUCUUCCACAAGAUCAUCUUUCUCUUCCUUUCUUCUUCUCUCUUCUCUCUUCUUCUUUCCUUCUCCCUUCUUUGUUUCUCUCUUUCUCUCUCUCCUAUGUGAAACACUCCUUAUGUAAAAGGCGAUGUAGUGAAGGUGUUAACUAGCUUAAUUGAUAAAGAUUUGAAAGUAUAUUAUGAGGUCCUGGACUCAAAUUUCGCCUUCACCACUUAUCAUUUAUAAAAAAAAAAGCAGUGAUGCAAUUACAAGACAAAGGCAGUGUGGAGCUAAUUAUUUGUUUCUCUCUUUCUCUCUCUUCCAUGUGAAACACUCCUUAUGAAAGAGGCAAUGCAGUUACGAGACACACAGGUGGUGGGGAGCUAAUUUAUUUUUUCUUUUGUGCUUUUUGCAGUACUUACAUUGGGGUCCUUAAAUAAAAAUAUGGAUAUUACAUAUUUCCCCCUAAAUAAAAAGUUUAGUCCAUAAAUGUGAUGUAUUUGACUCAAAAAAGAUUAAUAAUAAUAUAACUUCAGUCAUACUUUCAUUUUUUUCUACAUAAUUUCAUCAAAUAUACCAAUCAAUAAAACUCUUAUCAGAUAGUUCCUGUAAUUGUUUAUUCAAUAAUUUUAAUUUAAUAAAUAUCAUUCUAUAAAGGAUCUUAACAAUUAAUCCAAUGUUAAAUAUUAAAUUCAUAAUGACUUCAAUCUCACAAUCAGGUAAUAACUCUGAUAACUUCUAGAGAAACAUCUGAGUCUUUAUAAUAGUGAAUGAUCUAUCAAGUUCACAUCAUCUUAAUUGAUGUUUAAGAGUACAAUUAUAUAUCUUUAGCAUCUCAUCCUCGAUCAAUAUUUGGUUUAGAUCACUAAAAAGACUCAGGAAGAAGUAUAUUGUAUUUUUAAAGCUGAAUUCAACGUUAUCAGUGAUUAAAAAAUUCACACUUAUCCAUAACAAAUCAAAGAGAAUAUAGGUAUAUUAUGUAUAUUCCAAGAUAGCAUCAAAAUCUUUUAUUACUAAUUUAAUUAAAUAAUUUAAAAUUUAUUAACAUCAAUAUUCAUCAGUAGAUUUACAAAACAGUUAGGAUGACUCCAUUAGGUCUUUUCGGCUAGAAGCUAGACAGUAAUAAACCUACAACCCUUUCUUGUGGACUAACAACUACAGAGCUAACCAUUGUUCUAUUUGUUUGGUAGUUGCUACCAAGACAAUUUCUUUAUGCCCAUCAAAGGACCUCGAGAUGCUAAUCCACGAAAAUCAAUAAUAGAAAUAGAAAAGAACACAACUGCGGAACGAGGGCAACCAAUGAAAAUACAUCACGUUCUUACUCGUCAACUUUGACAAUCGUUUUCUUUUUCUAAAAUGUAGGUGACAAUGGUGGGGUUUGAACCAAGAUCUACGAUGAGCCAUCAAAGUCUUUACCAGCUAGACUAUCUAGAUACUUAUAAUAAUAUCGCACACAAUUCAAUGUGUACAUGUAUGUAUACAUCCUCUUAUAUUUCUUAACAAAUAUAGUCAAGUGCAUCCGCAAUAGUCAAUUCAUUAACCUCAAUAGUCAAAUGCUUCCUCAAAUUACUUUUAUCUAUCAAUAUUACAUAUAACAUCGCUUCUUUUCUAAUAGAUUAAUACGUAACUUAAUAAAAGUCUACAGCAACAAAAACCCUAGCUAAUCAAAGAUAAUCCUAAAUAAUUCUAAUAUGACUUUGGAUAAACUAUUUAAUCAGAUCCAUUAAUAUACAAGUAUAAUCAUAUCUGAUCACAUCAGCUCAGUUUUAAUAUACAAAUUGCAUCCACUACCAAGUGAGGUCAGAUUCUUUAUAAAAGGUUAUAAUUAGAUCAGAUAUACUCUAUCAAGCUUCAAUCACAGAGGUCCAUUAUAAUAAAAAAUUUGCCAUGAUUUAGGAUAACCAAUCAUCAACGAUUAGGUUUGUAAAUAAAUAAUAAAAUCAAGAUAGUCAACUAAAAACGUCCUUUUAUGAUUUAUCAAACAAUUCCUGAAACAUAUAUUAUGUAUUUCUUGAGGCCUCGGAAGUCUUAAAUCUUCAAAUGAUAUCAUAAUUCAUAACACCCAUAUAGAAAACCUCAAGACACUACAAAUUGCUAAAAUUGAUCCUUGAUGUACACUCCAAGUAUUAAGACAUUCUUAAAACAAGAAUUCACCCAAACCUAUUCGCCUGUGUAAUUAUACUCUUUUUUUUAAGUAAGAAAUCUUGAUUUUACUUCUAGAUGCAACCACAGGAGCAGUGACACAUAGAUGGAUUACGUUCUAUAUGGUUCUUGUGCAGGACAAUGCCAUAUAGAUGUCUGACAAAGCGUAUGUGAAGGAAGUCAAAAAAAAUAAAAAUUGGAAGUGCAAUGAUGGGAGCCGGUACACUAGGCAGCCCAUCCAUGAUCAGAAGACCAGUCAAUUUCUGAUGUGAUAAAGAAAUCAUUGUGGUAGUUGUUAUGCUUAGUGUAGUUAGGGUCUCAUUGUUAAGUGAUUCCAUGCCAAUUUGUACAUUCAUAUGAUGAACAAUAUAUAUAGUACCUUGGAUGUCAAGUGACCACUUGUCUAUUUUCAUUUUUGCAGCAUUUAACAUCAGCUUAGCUAGGGUGUUUAUUGCAGGAGCAUAUGCAGUCAAAAGUGUCAUUCCAAUUCAGAAAUUUUUCAUAUAAAUAUGAUUAUGAACAAUAGCAAUUAUGACCCAUGCAAUAUAUAAAUACAACAUAUAGUUUAAAGAAAUUACCAACAAAAAAAAAUUAAGUAAGCUAUUGAAAAAGGACAUCUAUAGCUAGAAACUACCAUGUGAUAAGGUAAGAUUAGACUUUCAUGAUUUGAAGCACUGAUUAGUAAAACAAAGCAACUGAAACAUGAGUACUAUCAAAUAAUUGUUAGUUUGAAUAUCAGAUCAUCAUGAGGACUAAAAAAGAAUAGUAGCACAAAGCGACACAGCAGUAGGGUUAAUGGGCUAGAUGAAAGUUUAAUGGGCUUGAGAUACACCUAAGAGUCAGAGAAAAUGAAUUAACUCAAUUUGACAUCAUGACCAACUCAAAUUCCAUGAGAAAAUUUUAGUUUGGUUUACCAUUUAUCCUGAAAGUUUAAGCAGAUAGAUAGGAAAUGGGACAAGUUAUAUUUAAACUCUAACACCAACUGACAAUCGAAGAUAUCUAUAUACCCUAUUAUCUCAUCUGUUGACAUAAGUUUCUAGAGGGAUUGGCAGCAGCCAAUUUAAUAUAAGUUUCUGUGUUAAAAAAAGCAGAACAUAAUGUACUGUUUUCAAAUAUCAAAGUCACACGAUUGUAGUUUUACUUUUACCCUAUUUGAUAAAAUUUUCACAUGUCGGGCUUAAGCAAAGGGCAGCGGUCAAUGAUCUAUCAGAGUUCACAUGGUACCAGAGAAGGAAAAUAGAAAAAAAAAGAAGAGCAGCAGAAAGGAGGUGGAGACUGGAACAACAGAAAGAUUGGGUGAAGAGUAGUCAGGCAAAGAAGGGAAGCAGAUGAGAUGCAAGCAAAAGAAGAAUAAAGAACUGCACACAUUCAUUUGUUGUUGCUGAUUAUGUUGUUAAUAACCGUUCCUAUCAUCCAUGAAUUGGGGGAAAGUUUCUAGUGUUCUCCUUAGACAUUGAAAGUUAUAGAAGGAUCAAAUAAUUAAAUGAGAAGUUCAGCAAGAAGCAAUGUAUUUCACUUCCCAACUAUUGCGAAUGAAGUGUAACAAACAUAAUCUACAUAUUCUUAGAUCAUCAUGCCUUGGUUAAUUCUAGUAAUAUUCUACCCCAGUAUUUGCUGUUUCCCUGUAUAAGGAACAAAAAGAGAGUGCACUAAAGUUGUUGAGGCUGCAAGCAAAUUCAUUUUUAUUGCUGACGAUGUCAGUCACAUAGGUAAGCAAUGGCGUGGAAAUCUAUUUUUCCUAUUGCUCCCUUCAUGACUACCACAGCAUGCAACAGAGGUAAAACGAUUGUUGCAUUGCCACCAUGUCUACUAAUAGGCCAGUUCCUUUCACUCAACGGCAUUUUGUUUCCUUUUGUUUACUGUUAUAAAUAGUUAAAUUGAGCUAAAAUUAACGUACCAAGUAUGAAAGAACAACACAGGAUGAAAAGAAUCCUUUUGCAUCAGCUACAUGCCAUUUGCCAGACAACUUCAUAUUUAUUAUGUAUUCUCUAAAAUUAGCCUUUCUAUUUUAUUUAGAUCAGUUCGGUAGAAAAUUUACAAUCACUUCAGGUCACAGCUCAUCUUUUCUAACAUACAGUUUAUCUGACCCAUCUUUUGUGAGAAACUAAAGCUUCUAAAACCCAUUUCCAAACUCUAAGAAAAAGAACACAAGGAAGCCUAUUUUUCUAGCUAAAAUCAAGUGUUAUAAUAUUUAGCUAAUCCUACUAAAUAUUCAGAUAAAAAGCCCCCUUCC